AUUGGAUUGGUCAGAAUUGCCAUAUGUAACUUCUCUGUCAUUUUCAUAUGCAAAUAUUUCAAGACCAGCGCCCAAUACAUACUCUCUUCCUGUUUGCUUAGCAAUCUCGAGCCAAGGUUCUUGUGUUAUUUUCUCUACUGUUAGGUCCUUUGAUGUGUUGUCUUUUAUGAAUGGCCCAAAUAGGUGAGAGCACGAAGAACUAUUGUAAGACUAACCUGUAAUUUUGUUACUUAAGACAUGGUAGCUUUCCAGCCAUUGUGAUUGCAUGUUCCCAGGUUGAGGUAGUAGGUUGUAUAGUUUAGAAUUACAUCAAGGGAGAUAACUGUACAGCCUCCUAGCUUUCCUUGGGUCUUGCACAAAGCAACAUGGCGAGAACAAUCAUGAUUUCUCCAGGCCUUUUUUCCCUAGGCAAGACUAUGAAAGGUAAGACUUGGAAGAGUUUUUAACUGAUAUUUUAGAACUCAGCUUUCGUUUAAUUCUUCUACUCAUGUUGUAUUUCCAUGUUCAGUUUCUUUGGUUGGAAUUUAUUUUGUCAAAAAAUAAGAGAUUUUGAGGGAUUCAGUGUGUCAUCUAUCCAUUGUCACAAUAAUGCUGUGUAAUAAACAACACAAACCCUUAGUGGCAUACAACAAUAAUCAUAGAUUUAGCUCAUGAGUCUAUAGAUGGAUCUGGACUUUAGAUGGGGUAACUUCUCUGGUUUUGAUUCUUUCAUUCUAGCUGCAAGUAAUUGGAUAGGUUACUAGGAUGAACAGAGAAACUCAGAUCUGUUCUUCAUGUCGCAUUUUGCAACAGGCUAGGCCUAAAACAUCCUCAUAGUAAAGUCUUGGAAUCAAAAACAAAAGGCAGACAGCUACAGGAUUUUACAAGCUUCUGCUGUGUUGGUUAAUAUCUCACUGGCUGGAGGAAGUGCCUGACUAAUCCUGGGGCUGGAGUCAGAGACUGCAAGUUUCAUAGCAAAGGACAUGAAUUCAGGAAGUCAUUGCCAGUUUGGACCAUUUGUAAAGUAGCACUGUGUUUUCAGAUGCCAUCAAAUUGAAAAUAAUUUUGUUUUCUCAAUUGGUGGAAGCUUCCAAGUUCAGGAGCCAUAUUUUUGAAUUCAUAUUUUUGGAUUUUUGCCGAAGAUGAUCCUUGAAUGCUAUGUUAUACUCUUGUUGAUAAGAUAUGCUGUAAGCCUGUAUGAAAAAUGGCAAGACACCAGGAUGAUAAUAAUGGGAUAUUGAAUGAAUGAUAGACUAAACUCUCAGUCUGCCAUAAGCUGUGAGCAGAAAAUCCAGCACUGGGAUCCAACUCUUGUCAGUUAGGAUGGAGUUGCUCAAAGCCCAUUUUGUUUGUUUUUUUUUUUAUGUAGAAAUGAAGAUAGUCUGAAGGUACUUAAUAUAGUAAUUUAAUCCAUUCUAUUAUUUUCUGGUAUUUUAAUAUAAUACACAGUAUAUAAAAAAGAAAAUAGUUCUGGAGCCUAUACAUAUGGUGAUCUCUGACUCCCUCAUUCUCUCUGUCUCUGUCUCUGUCUCUGUCUCUGUCUGUCUGUCUGUCUCUCUCUGCCCCCUUCCACUUUCCUGUCUUUCUCCCUUGAUCCCUCCCUUAUAGAAAGGAUGAGAUUCUGUUGGCUGUCAGACUUUCCAUGCUACUAUUUCUAUGAGGAAUCAUUGUGAUUGCCACAUUACCAAGAGGUCAAGGAUAACUGCCUGUCUUUGCUGAUAAAGCACAGUUAAAAGGUUGGUGUUACUUUUAGGCCACCCUACAACUAACUGUAGAACUAAGAAAAAGACUCAGAGGCUCCUGUAUCAUUUUUAUUUCUUGCCUCAUACUUCAGUGACUUAGAGGAGCCUAGCCUGACCCUAAAGACACUGCCAUUACUUUGUCACAGUUAAGAGUUUGGCAUGAAACCUUGUGUCUGUGUUGGAUGUUUGUGAGUUAAAUGUGUGUGGCCACUUGGUGUAUAAGCAGCUACUUAGUACUGCUUAUAUAUUUAUAAGGCUUUUUAAUAUCAAAUUGCCUUCCUGCACAAAACAGUAAGGCCCUCUCCUUUUCAGUGGCAUAAACUUGAGUGGGAUCACAUAUUCAUGAUUUUUAAGAACAAAUUAGCAGUUAGUAUGCCCUGCUUCUGAAGACAAAAUAACUUCAUUACAAUUGUGCUUCUACUGAUUUGGUGAUAAUGUUGUAUCUACCACAAUGUAAAUAAUUUGCCUUCCAAAUGGCAUAAGAUCUAGAACUUAUCUAUACUGGUAUGCUUUUUAACCAAUAGGCCACGGUAGGAAAAAUAGUUUGGGAAACACAGUUAAAUUAAAUUAACGUUGGAGUCAACUUUAGUCACAACAUAGUAUCAAUUUCAGCAGUAAUAGGGUAAAGUCAUUUCCAAAAUGAUUCAUUCUUUGCCUUCAUUUUUGGUGAGUAUAUAUUAUGUUUUUCCAGGGAAAAUUCACUAAAUUUUAUUGUAGUGAGCAGACAUUCAUAACCCCAGAAACCCCAAAUAUGCUAUUGAUACACAUGACCAUGGUAUCUUCUGAAAAUUAAUGUUAGGAUUUAAAAAGAAAAGGAAAAGUUGCAGCAUGGUACGCCUUGAAAUAUUAUCAAGAAAUGUAUACUUGUAGUAGAAAUGUUAAUUUAAUUUUUCAGAAUAUGUUCAUUCAAUCCAGCUAUUUUCUAGCCCUGAUAAACUUCAAAACAGAAGUAUUGCUGACAUUUUAACCUUCAAUAAGCAAAAAAAAAAAAUGUUUUGCUUUUGCAACUUAAGGAAACUGGUUAGUUAAUAUAGUGAGUUUAGAAACUUUUUUGAAGAUAGGUUUCUGUGCUUUUUUUAUUUUUAGGGAUUAGUUUUUUCACUGGGUUUAUUAGGGAAGACUUUAAAACCAGUUUUCAAUAAUGUAACGAAUCAUUUUCUUGUAUUGAGCUUCCGAAGACUUUCUUCGGAGGACAAACAUUAGCUUUCUCAGAGGUGGCUUUGGCUUACUGUUUUUUCUGAGUUUUCUGGAAACCCAAGGAAAAAUAAGAAUACCAAGUUUUUUGUAAGUGACUUUCAUUUACUAAAUAUUUAUUGUAAGCUUUGACUGCAAAUAGGAUAAUGCUCAUGUCACUACUGCUCUUUCUAAUCAACUUUUUUAACCUUAUCUUUUUUAUUUUAUGAAAAAAUAAAAUAAAAAUUCAUAACCAAAUAACAAGAGAAUAGCAAUAGUUAUUAUACCCUAUAUUAUUAUCUUCAAAGUAGUUACUCACUGCAAGACAUAAGCCAAAGGAAAGUUUUGUGUUAUUACCUAGUCAACAUUUAAGUGAGGUUGACGUUACCAUCACAUGGACUGUAUUCUUACAUCUCAAUGUCUCCAAUAAGUAAAUGCUCUAUAAUUUCAGAUGUCUAGGUAAUUAGGCUAAAGGUAAGAAAUUUAGGUAUAGCUUUCCAUCUUUAGCUAAGUACACCAAAUUCCCCUUUUAAGUAUAGCCACAGAACUUGUUUCUAAGUGUAUCUUAUUUACCGUCCCUAAUACAGAACCCUAGGGUACAGCAUUGAUUUGUUUUGGAAACAGAGAAAUUGUGACAUUGAGCACACUCCUAAAGAUACUCCUAUUAUAGCCAUGCAUUCAACAGAAGCAUCUUUCGCAAGAAUAUGUAAAGAAGAUCCAUCUGGGAGCAUGAAUACUGGUACCUAGCCUGGUUCUGCUGUAGUCAAGUCAUUUCAGCUUUCGAAUUUUGUUGUCCAAAGAUGUAAACCAAUAGAAUAGAACUGAACAAUUUCUGAGGUAACUAUUAUAUUGAUUCUGGAACUAUCACUUUAGAGUUUAUUGAGGAGAAUCUUACUUAUUAGCUUCUGUGUCGUCUUGUCUUAAAACAUGGAAAGAUAUCCCUCUUAUUCCAUCCCCAUAAUAAGGGAGAAUUUUCAAUAAUGGUUCCACAUCAGCUACUAACACGGGAGGCAGCAAUAUAGCUUGGAAAGAGUAUCCUAAGAAAUAGUACAUAGGAAUACCCUUGCUCCUUCCGUGGUUUGCAGAUCCCUAGAGUAAUAAAGAACAGUACAUCAUUUUCUAAUGAGUUAAUGUCUAUGAUCAGGUGCUGAUGAUCGUGUUAGUAUAGAUUAUCACAGUGGUGAACGUUCAAGAGGGAGACAUGUGAAACUCACCACCUCCUUUUCUGAUUCCUGUUUGUGUCCUUUCUCAACAAAAAUUACAUGCUUUGUGCUCUGCUGCCAACUGCAGUCUGGAGCACAUGAGAGCUUCUGUGGCCCUUCUCAACCCUUUUCCAUCAGUCAAAGAACUCUCACUGUUCUGUGCUAAUGCAAAAUGCAAUAACGUUUAGCAUCAGGACAUCUCUGAGUCAAGAGGUUAGGGGAAAACACAUCUCCCAUUGUGUUCCUGUGGCUCUGAUACUGUUAAUGGUGAAAACACCAUGGAGACAAAUAGAUCUCUCUUUAUUUAGGAAGCUUUGAGGGAAGAGAAAAUAUAUAUAUGACAUCUUUACAGCCUGAGAGCCCUCUCUAUAUGGUGCAUUAAGGAAGGGUGGGGGCGGGGAGAAGUUUGUAUGACAUCGUGCUUGAUAAGACUCGAGCCAUGUGGAGAGAGGGAGGAUCAUGUCUGCACCAUUUUUUUUCUAUUGCUUUAAUAAAUGCUUGUGGUUUUAACAGAGGGAAAUCACAUGUAACCUUUCAAGGCACAGACUCAAGACUCUUUGAAUAAACAUAUUAGAAAGCUUUAUGGUGGCUGUUUUAAAAGGUGACCAAAAGAAGUAUCUGAUAACAUAGCGGCUUCGUUCUUCCUUAGCCUACUUAGAGCCUCUUGCUUAUCCACUUCAGAUAUAAGGAAUGUAAAUCAAUAUAUUUUAAAAGAAAGCCAAGGAAAAAUAAAUCAAUAACUUAUGAUUGCACUUAGAUUUUCACUUGGAACUUACCUAAAAGUAGACUAUUCUGUAUGACUGCCAAAAGAUCAUAACAAAACAUGAUCUCUUUUUAUCUUAUCGUCUCUUCGAGUGACUCCCAAGGAAACCUCAGUUGAGACCAUGUCUUGUUCCUGUAGGACUUUGAUGAGAGUUUUGUUUUGUUGUUUAUAGAUCGUGAUCAGAAACUAUAAUUAAGAUUUUCCUUUAGGAUCUAAAGAAUUUUCUUGCUGUGUAAAUUUCUGGAUGGAUCUGUAUUUUCAUUAUUAUCUGUCCAAUUUAAAGCUACCAAAUAAUUUUUGAAUUUUCAAUUGUACACAUUCUUUGAAAUAUUGAGGCUAUAUAAUAUCAAUUACUACUCAAUCUUGCCAGCAGAUGACUGCAGUCACUUUGAUGAGGGAGGACAGUAAAGAGGGUUAAGAAUUCAGUUUUUACAUCAAACUAUAAGCCUUUAGACUUCUUUUCAAACUAGGCUGAUCUUCAUUUCUGAAAUACUGGUGCUCUCAGGGGCAGGAGAUUUCAUUUACAAAAGUUCAUCAAGUCCAGGGAAUAGGGACAGGAGUUCCAGAAUGACUCACUGUUUGAUGAAUAAGGCCCCAGAUGUUCUGGGGAUGCCAUUUUUAUAGUUGAAUACAAUGUAUAGAAUUCAAAUCUUAACUUGAAUUCCAAAUUGUGACAGAACAUUCAAUAGUGAGAUCGCAGUGUUGUAGCAACAUGGUGCUUCUGAUCAGCUGCUAAUCAGCAACUUCAAAACAUAAAAGGCACACACAGGGUGUAUGACUGUGUAUGAAAUCCUCUACGUAUUUAAGAUUCUUAGUUAAUUUACAGCUUCUUUAUUAUUGAAUAAUGAAGUAUUGCUGAUAUAUUGGAAUAGAUAUGCAAAACACAUGUUCUAUCAAGCAUAGUUAAGGGAGAACAUCUUCCAAAACUCUGAAUAUAAAGGUUUGGGAAGUAAAGUUUUUUUUAUGACCUGACAUGAUUAAGAAACAAAGUUUUAUGGUGAAUCAUUUUAAUAAAAUUUCUGACAUUAAAAUAAAUAAUGCAUUCUGCUUAAGACUAAAGCUAUUCUAAAUACAAUUUAACAUGUCUUAAGAUUUAUAAGUUAUUCACAAUCCACACGCUUCAAGGUCAGCAUUAUAAAGCUAAAUUUAUCUUGUAAAGUGGUUUAACAUGUAAAAGUGGUGAAUAUAGACCUCAGCUUGGCAAAUAUGGGCUCAAUUAGAGUGUACCAUUUAUGUUCGGUGGCUUCAGAUGGAAGCUGAUGUUAAUAUUGACUCCCUGCUCUAUUUCAAUGGGAAAGUGUCAAAAUAUUCUGUUGCAAAUUAAACAUCACUCUUACCCAAUCUACCAAAAUGUUUAGUCCUGAAUACGGAAUACUCAUUAUCCCAUGACCUCGUGUGGCUCUAAAUUUAGCUGAGUCCGUGGGCUAUUUCCUGCCUUGCCAGCUCUCCUCUCUAUCCAGUUCCACCCUGCUCUGUGCCCUUGCAUGCUGAGCAGUGGACCUUCCUCGUGUUUCUGAAUGAGUUGGGCCGAUCGUCCGUGGCAAGCAGUUGGAGGUAAAGUGGAGAAAGCAGUUAGGGUACUGAGUCCCUCCCAGCCAUGGGCUGGAACUGGCUUCUCCUUACUUAAUGUGGUCAUUUUGGUCACAGCCAGCUCUGACUCCAGCUUCUAAUGAUCACUGCUUCUCCUUACUUUCUCAGGCUUAGGGCUGUAAGGGUUUCUCACUGCUAAUAAUCCUAAAACACUUCACCAUCCUUAUUGGUCUCUAUUAACUUUGUAAGUAAUCUCCGUCAGUAUAAGUCAUCCUUGUGUUCAACUUCCCACAGUUUCUCAGUCUGAAUGUACUGUUUUAUCUGGACCUUGCUUCACCAUCUUAAGUCAACAUACUUUAGAUAACAGAAAUUAUAGUCACUCCCUUUUCAUCCUUUGUGGGAGAUAACGGAUGAAAGAGUAUAUAUUUAUCUUUCUAUAGUUGUGUCUCUGGAAACAGCGAUGGUGUCUAAUACCUUUACAAUGUCUCACGGAAACUGGUGAAAACCACUUAGCUCACAGUGUAUGCUCUGUACACAUGGAGAGUCUCACAGAGUUGCUGCAGAAUCUCAAAUUCGUUAGAGGUUUAAAUGGAAUGUAAAGUCUUGAUUUAGGAUGUAGACUUCAAGAAACACUGUAUUGCUUUCUCACUAACCUUUCUAAUGUAAUAUAAUCUUACUUGAUACAAAUUUCAUACUGAUGCUAGACAUUCUAAUUCAACAGAAAUAAAUUUUCUUCAUGUUUAGGUUGAUUUUUGUUUAGUAGAUUAGAAAUGAUUAUAUUUAAAAUGUUUAUGUCUAUUUUUGUCAUACAUAUGAGUGAAAAAUAUAGGCUUUCUCUUCUUUAGUAGUAGUGUUAAUAAUUUUCUGACUGUGAUAUGAAUAAGUAUAAUUAGACUAUAAUUAAAUAAUGCAUAAACACUGAAGAAUAAAAGUAGUUACCAGAACUGGUGUCUUUGCUAUUUCUUUAUAAUUCCUAGUGCUGUUUCACUUUGGUCUCUGCCAGAAUUCCAAGCCUUUCUAUAGUUCAUAUCCUAUGUAAUACAGAAAAUGAAAAUGGAAACAUACUUUGAUUCAGAAAGCUAUAAAUAGUGAUUGUAUUACUGCUUUGCAUAAAUCCAUGUUGUAAUGUCAAAUUUCUCUGAAAUCAGUGGAAUAGAUUAGGAAAAACAGUGAGAACUUGCUAUUUGCCUUUCUUUAUUGAGAGGAAAAAGCUGGGGAAGUUCAAAGAGCGAAUUCUUUAGUAUUCAUAUCUUGCAAAAAGAUCAUUUCUUCAACAGACGGAGGUGGGUAGGACACUGUCAACUCAAAUAACAUAAACUUUAUAUCUCCCUGAUAAUAGAAACUGUUUAAAGAUAACUUUACUAGUCUACAUGGGAAGUGACCAAAGCACUAUUAGAUAACUUAAAACCAAAAAAGCAUGGAAAAUAUUUUUUCCAACUGUUUCUUGUUGGCCUCUUGGCAAAAAACAACAGUUACAUUCACUAUCGAGGGACUAUCUCUUGUGGGCCAGACCAGAUGAUCUAAUAGGUCUUUAUAAUCUCUAAAUACUGUGACUUUUAUCCCCAAGUGAACUACAUAGUUUAUUUACAUAGAAACACACUCACAGGCUUAAGGAAAUGCUCUAUGACUAAUGCUAAGGAAAGUCAGCCAGGAUGACUCAAGUGACUUUUUUUUUUAAAGUAGGAUAAGUAAAUUAAAAUCAUAGACAUUCUCUUUAAGUUCCCUCCAAUUUCUCACUAUGUAGAUUUGACAUAGGCUUCUCCAGCAGUAAAAUCGUUUUCUGCCACUAGCAAAUUAUAAAUUCGUUGUCCUGCUAAAUCAGGAAAGUUCUGCUAUACUUAUCGAGAAAGCUCUUUGAUGGAGAUUUGACUUAAUUGUUAUUUUAACUUCAAAUCUUAAUCCAGACACAUGGAAAAUUUAAAAUGUUGUGGAUGAUCAAAAAAAUACAAAUUAAUAGAAAAAAUAGAAGCAUGAUAAAUAAAGCAUAAUCACUGGACAUUUAAAUUUUAUUAAGAACUUGGUUUUUGGCCACUGGCUACAUUUAUUUAGACAAAUGAAGCAUUCAGACUAAUCUACAUUUUUAAUAAAAGAUUGUUUUUCCAGGAAUGUGUUGACAAAGACAUUUUUAAGAACCCUAUCCCCACUCCAGAUUAUACAAACAUUUUAUUAUUUCUUCAUCAGGUAAUGUUCUGAGACUAAAAAUCAAAGCUAUUUUUUAUUAUUGUUGUUGUUUUCAAUUUUAAUUUAAUUUCCUCUAUACUGGGCAUUGAUUCCUUAGAAACAGAUACUGCAGAGGGGCUUCUUAGUCGGUUAUUUGCCCGGCUUAGUCUAGCGUGCACUGGUUAGAAAAAAAGUGAUCAGGAUAUACCCAUUUUGAAGGAAGAUGAAAGAAUCCUAAUGUCACCCAUGCACAGUAUUCCUAAGACAACUGAAUACAUUUCAGAUCAUUUUUUAUUUCUAGAAGAUAUGUCAGGAUGCUGAUUCUUUCUCCUAAAAUUGAUGGUAAUAAGGAAUUCCAUUUGGUUUCUUUACGAUUGGUCCCUACCAAUUUUUCUCUCCACUUCCAGAGCCCUGUAUUAUCAUUUGCACACAUUGGUGUUUCAGCCAUGUAAAUAUAAUACAUUGAUUUCUAGAAUCCUAUAGCUUAUUGCACUAUUGAUCAUAUUGGUUAUUCUUAAACUAAAACAUUGCUUUUUUUUAAGGGUAAUAAUUUCUGUCAGGGCUUUGUAUCUGCUAAAAAUUCCAUUCAGUCACCCCAAACCUCCUGUGUGUCAGGUAGAGACUUCCUUCAGGGUCAUUUCCAUUUUAAAUUCAACAUAGAACAUGCAUUGCAUUCCAGAGCUAGUAGUUAGGGUUAAGAUUGGGGAAUAUGAAAUGAGAAUGCCAUUCUCAUGGCUCAUCUUCACAGCUCACUUUAAUAUCCCCCCAGUUUAGUUCUGGACACACGUUCUAGCUCUGAUUUAUUUCUAAUAUCAACCACUUUAACUGUUCAUGCUUUGAAGUUACUCUAAAAGUUAAACGGUGCUUGAGGUUGAGGAUCCCUUUUGUGACUAUUCUCCAAAGCCUAGCUCAGGGUCUUUCUCUUUCUGUUACCUUUUCUCUUCCCUUAGGCAGCUCUUUCUUUUCUGCUUACAGCAGGUUUUGUCAAGCUGCUACCACAUCAUGUUACAUGAUGCUCAGUGUUAUUUCUAUUUAAUUUUAAUGGAUUAGGCACCAUCUUAAUCAUCCCUUCAGUCCCAGACUGACACACAGUAGGUGGUUAAUAAAAGUUCGCUCACUUAAACCAAGUUUUCUUUCAGUAAAAAAUUUUGAAAGGCCCAUGAUUUAGGAAACAUGAAACUCAGGUAACAUUUGUAGCCCAUAUACAAGUUCUGCAUUGUGUUUUGUAGCACCUGCAGAAUUCUUGCCUUGCCUUUACUGUUGCUUCAGUGCACAAAAUCAAAUCUGACAUAGGUCCAACUGCCAGGUGAAGAGAAGGUGUAUUUGAAGAUCAGCCUUUGGGAUGUUACCAUAGGCUACUUAGAGUCACCGGAAGUUCAAAGGUUUAUUAAACUCUACAUGGGCAGAAGCCUCAAAGAUAAAUAUUUUAAUGCAUAUUGGUAUAAAACUGACUUAUUUUUAUUACUUAAUUUAAAAAAAUAGAGUAAACACAUGCAGUUUUCUAUAGUGAGUCAAAUCUUAUUUGGGAAGGAAUCUCCCUUAUUAAAUGGCUAGGGCUUCAAGGACCUUUCUCUGCACUGUUCAUUGUGUGUGAAUAAAACCAUCCUGGCCAUGAAGAAGAUGAAUGGAUUUGCUCUGAUGUCACUAAGCUUCCAAGCUGCUGUAGGCUCUUUCUGCGCUACACUUCUCAGCAUAAUUUUUGAAGUUCUUUUUUAACUAAGGGAUACAUUUUAUGACAGUAAUGAUAGAGAUAGUAAUGAUGGUGAUUUUUAAAAUUACUAUUCACUGGGCAAAUUGAAUAGAGAAUAAAUAUCAAGUGGUUUUUUUGCUUAAUCAAAACUGAAAAGUCAUUGGAAUUAUGUGAUGUGCCAUUAUAGUAUUAGCUAUGUUAAUUCCUAUUCAGUUUAUGCAUUCAUUGUAUAUAUUUAUUAUUUCUUUUUUGAAAUUUCAGGAAUGAAGUAUAUAAAUUUCUAUAUCUAGGAAGACUUCAGUAUAAUCCUGUUCGUAGAGUUAACAUUAGAGAAGUUACCACUUGUAAAUUCCCCUAAAAUUUAAGUUUACCUUAUCAAAUGAAGUAAAUAAGUUAUACUCUUAAUUAUUAAUGAAUAUUAAGUUAUUUUUCCUAUGUCUGUUUCCAACUUUAAUCUGCCAAAAAUAUUGUCUAUUGACAAUGCGUUGUAUUUUCCUCAAUCUCUUGUUUUACCUGGGAUAUAUAUACAUAUAUAUGUAUAUAUAUAUAUAUAUAUGUUAUAUAUGAGGUAUUAUGUAUACUCACAUAAUAGGCACAUUAGACAUGUUUAUUGUUUAAUUAAAUAACUUAGUACUGAACUUUUAUUCUAAAGCUGUAGUGAAUGCAAGAUAGUCUUGAUGCUUCUUGCCAUCAAAUAUCUUUAAAUGUAAAGGGGAGAAUACAAUAAUUACCAAAUAAUUUCUCUAUCAAUGCAGAUGUGUAGAUUACAAUUACAAAGAGUUCUGGAAAAUCCAAGAAACAAGUUAUUUUCAAUUGUAAAAUCACUUCAGUCUUUUUGGAAGUGAUAUGCUUGGAGUAGGCACUUGGAGAAUAAGAUUUUGAUGGAUAGACAUUAGGGGCAAAUUAUUCACAAUGAAGGAAGUGUAAACAAAGGACUUGACUAGAGGGAAAUAGCACAUAUUUGAGAAUGCAAAUAGUCCAUUGGGCUUAUACACAGUUUGCAGAUAGGUUUAGUAGAAAAAGAGUCUUUACAAAUAAUCUGAAGUCAGUUUAGAGAGGAACUUGAAUACACACAAAGGUGUUUGGAAUUUUGCCAGGUAGCUAUGGGGAGCUUUAGGUUGAUUAACUGUCUAUUUUGGAUGAUUAAUUAGCGUAUAAAAUGGACAGGACAGGAUGUGGAGAGACUAGUUAAGAACUUAUUACCAUAGACUCGGGUGAUCUGUAUGCCAGUCUGAACUAGAGUGUUGGCAAUGUGUGUAGCAAAGAGAGAAGAUUGGACAGAACCUGUCUGUGCAAUUGGGUCUCACAAGUAAGUGAAUAAGGACACUGAAGACUUGUUGAAAGCUGAUUAGGGAAAUUGAUUUAUUUUAGAUUUAAACAGCAUUUUUUUUGUGAUUUUUGUGCACAGAUACUUGGUAGACCAGCAAUAGAAGUAGAGGAACCAAGAUCAUAGUUUAAGAAAUGAAAAGAUGAAGACAUUCAAGAGAUACUAGAUCCAGGGUAAAGUUCAAGUAUUGGUAGAAGUGAGUGAUUGGCUUGGGGUGGAGAUAGGAAUUUUGGGAGUUUCUAGGUCAUACAUAGGAAGUCAGUACCUUAAGUAAAAAUGGACGAUGAGCACUGUGGAAAUUGGAAGUGAUUUCCUGAAAGGAAAGCAGUUCCUGAUGCUGACGGAGUUCUCCUUCUGGCCAUGUAUGUUGAUAACUAACAUGAGAAGGAAAAUUAAUAUCGUUAGAGCUGAUGAAGCCGGGUGUGAGAAAGGUCCUUAGUGUAGUCACGAUGAGGGGAAAAAUCCCAUAAACUGUCCAAUCAAGAUGGAGGAUUAAGAUGCUUCCAAACUGAAGGAGUUUAGAGCCAGACUUUCUUGAUAUGAGUUGAUCUUAAUGGAGAAGGCUCAUUCUUUCUACUGGGUUCUGAUAAUCGAAGAACUCUUGAUUACGUACUGAUUUAAGAAUUCAAUUUCUCAUUUGAAAUGCAAAUAUUGUACUGAUUUUUUGCUCACUAAGGAUGAGGUUCUACACAUUCACAGUCAUUGGAUGGCAUAUUUACAGAUAUAGGCGGGAAUGGGGAUUUAGCUCAGUGGCAUAAGUGCCUGCCUUUCAAGCAGGCAGUCAUGAGUUUGAUCCCUGGGACCGAUAAAAAAAAAAAAAAAGAUAUAGGCAAACCUUGGUAUCCACAGAUUCCAUAUUUGAGACUUGGUAUGGUUACUAAAAUUUAUUUGUAACCCCAGAAUCAAUACUUUGAAAGCUCUUGUGGUCAUUUGUGGACAUGCAAAAUGUAGCAAAAAAUUAUUGUCAUUUAGUGACACAUUUGUUUGCAGUUUUUAUGCUAUUUGUUGAUAAUUUUGCUGUUUAAAGUGACCACCAAGGGCUGGGGAUUUAGCUCAGCGGCAUAAGCGCCUACCUUGCAAGCAGGCAGUCAUGAGUUUGAUCCCCGGUACCAAUAAAAAAGAAAAAGACAAAAAAAAAAAAAAAAAAAAGAAAGAAAGAAAGAAAGAAAGAAAGAAAGAAAGAAAGAAAGAAAAAAAUAGUUUUCUAUGGGAUGGGGAUUUAGCUCAGUGGCAUAAGUGCCUGCCUGGCAGUGUGAGGUUGUGAGUUUGAUUAAAAAAAAAAGUGACCACCAAGUAUAAUGCUAAAACUCUAUCAGUUUUCCUGUGCAACAUAUAAAACAAGGUUGUGUAUUGAUCAGUUGAAACAAGAUGUGACCAGAGGCUUUCCUCCAAGAGCAGUUCUCUAAUAUUCACUAAGUCAGUAUUCAAGUAGCCACAUAACUGACAAGCACUGCAAAUAACCACAGUUAAGACCACCUUAUUUGUUUUAGUUAAAUGUAGCUAUCUUGGUUGUUUGCCACAAUCAAGCUUGUCAGGUUGCAUGCCACACUAUGACUUACUCAACUUCCUGUUUUGAAAUAAUUUUAGACGUAAAUACAAGGUGCAAAGUAAUAUUCUGUUCUCAUUACCCUUCACCCUAUUCCCAUAUACGCUUCACCUGGCUUCCCCUAAUGGUUACAUCUUCAUAGGUGGAGUACAGUGAUCAACAUCAGCACAUUAACACUGCUGUAAUAUUGCUAAUUAAUCUUUAGAUCUCACUGAAAUUUCUCAGCUAUUUCCAAUCAUGUCCUCUCUUUGGUCAAACAAGCAAUACAAGAAUCUACAUUUCAUUUAAUGUCAUAUUUUCUGAUCUGUAAUGAUUCUUAUCUUUCUUUGUUUUUCUACUAAUCUCAUAUCUUUUAGAAUACCUCAGUUUGAGUUUUUAAGUGUUGUUUCACGUUUAGAGUGAGAUUAUUCAUUUUUUACAAGAAUACUACAAAAAUGAUUUGCCCUUUUUAAAGCCUUCUUUAUUGGAUCAAUCAUUUCAAUAUACUGUCACGUAGGUAAUAUAAAUUCUGAUCACUUGGUUGACUGUCAUAUGUCUUCCCUAUUAGUUGCUAUUGUUCCUCUUUGUAAUUGAUAAGUGGAAGAUAAAUUUUUAAUGCUAACAUUUUCUAGAUUACUUUUCAAUCAGUAAGCACAUUAUGACUAAUUCUGUGCUGUAUCUGAUGACAAGUAGUUGGAAUAAUUUUUAAAUGAUAUUCUUUUGUUCACUGAGAAUUGACAGUCUAGUUGAGGAGUGGGGGGACACACAUUAAAUAUUAUACAAAAUCACAUUAUGGAAGACUGUAUGGCACAGAAUGCAAGCUACAGAAGUUGUUAGGGAAUGCGUUGUGUGGAAAGAGAAACAUGUUGGAUUUUGGAGGGGAAUUUUUCUAGGUAAAACUUCAUAACUCACUUAACUCAGAAAAAUACAUUGAUUAUUUUAGCUUCUCAAGGGGUUGCACUAUAGGCCAGGGUAUGCCAUCAUAUAAAAGUGAGGGUCUUUACCUUCAAAGAGCUCUUAGCCUGGUGAGAGACACAGAGCUGCCUAUCAAUGUAGAGAAAUAUGAUAGAUGUGUAUAGCCAUGGGAGAGGGAAGGGGAUUUCUGGGAUUGGGCAGCAGUAUCACACCUUAGAGAUUUAUAGGAGGUAACUCCAGGUUUAGUUUGUCUGUAUUCCAUGAAUGGUGUACAAGUUUUUGAACACUUCUAGUACAUCAGAUUCUACUACUUUGUCUCUUUCUAACAGAAAAUAAUUUUUCUGUUGAGCUAAAAUUCACCAGACUUUCACCCUUACGUCUAGUUCUUACCUCCUGAGCUACAGAGAAUAAAUUACCUACUUCUUUUUGCAGGAUAAUCUUUAGAGAAACAGACUUUGCAUCUUUUCUUAAUACCUCUAUUCUUAAUUUAAACACAAAUCCAUAUAGUAUAUGUGAUUUCUAGGUCUUUAUAAUUCUUCGUGUAUUUGUUUGUUGAUUGAUAUGACAACCAGAAUUGAAAGUAUUCUUGGGCUGUCAAAUCAGGGAGCACCAUGUAACUAGCUCAUCACUUGUUCUAGACAACAUAAUUCUAUUAUGCAGCCUAAGUAUUCUUUGACUAUUUUGAAGGCAAAACUGUUGGCUUUAUUUGUGUUUUCCUUAUAAAUAAUUCAUGCUCCCUCACCCUGACCUCCUUCCCUGGAAAUUUUUUAUUCUAAUAAUUAUAUGGAGUCUCCCUCAUCCGGUUCAGUGGAAGUUUUGAACCUACCAUUCAAAACUUAUUUAUUUCUGUCACAUUUUCUGCUCUUCACUUUGACCUCUUAGUAGAGCUGUCUAUGAACUUUGAUCUUGUCAUUGGGUGUAGCUUUUCUUUUUUCUCCCAUUUUCAAUAUCUUCAGAUUUGAUAAUAAUGUAAUCUAUCUUCAGUCAAGGUUUUAAUAAAAUAAAUGGGACAGGGGUCAAGCACAAGGAUCUCUGGCAAAGCAUGUAGGUCACUGGUCAUUUCCUGAUAUAAAAAAGCUCUUGCCUGUACUUCUGUGCAGCUCCCCAUUUUGCUCCCCAGGAGACAGUGGGGCAGGAAGAAUCCAGCAUGCUCAUCAACCAUGGUGAGCCUGACCUGAGAACCCAAGAUGGCGCUUUGGCCAGCAGUGUGGAAUCUGUGUAUUCUUCAGUGGAGGCAGGUCACAUUGUGUCACAUUCAAGAAUUUACUUCUGUGAUUGAUAAUUCUAUAGUAUUUCAUUUCUUGUGGACUUCUCUGAUGUUCAUGUUCCCUAUUUCUAUAUCAAGUGGUAAGAGAUAAAUUAGCAAGGAAAAUUUGGGUCAGGGCAUGACAAAUUAAGAGCAUGAUUUAAAGCAGUGUAUUAUGAGUGGAAUUCUGUGUGGAGUGGGGAUGUUACUCCUGGAGAAAGGAGAAAGCUGCCUGUGUUUUCAAGAGGUGAGGAGACAGAGAACUUAAGGCAAUAGAGAGAGCAGAGCAGAAGGGGCAGAUAUGCUGCACGGAGGAGCAGUAGGAUUCUGUAAUUAAAAAUAGAUGUGGGGAGAGAAGAGGAGGGCUGAGGCAAGGAUGACUCCCACAGUUUAAAUCUGGAAUAUGAUGCAUAGUGGAUGGGAACUAGAUUGCUGAAGUGGAUCCCUCUCAGGUGUGGUUAGGUUUAUUGUUUUCGUACUUAGCUUCAUGAUGAUGAGAAGUAAGAGUCACUCGUAGACCAGAGUCUAAGAUUCACCAUUCCUAGCAUAGAAAGAAAGGUUUGCUAAGGAGUGAGAUUUUCAGGUAGAAACUUACAUGACUUCACUGUGUUACAGGAGAACUGUAGGAUCACAGCAGCUGUCAGACCCCUUUGCUUUCUAGCACAUAAGUGCUUAUUGUAUAAGUGACACCAUAUUCUUCUAAUAGAACCAAGGGCCACUUAGCUCUGUAGAUCUACUUCAGAAGUUGCAAAUGGUAAAUGUGGUUAGGAAAAUUUUGGAAAUGGAGGUUGGCUAGGAUAAAAUAUGCUGAAGUGAUAGAAUGAGCCAUGGAAUAUAAUCCAGAAUAUCCUAUUUAACCAUCAGCAACUACCCCAACAAAGCCAUCUACCUACUUUUAAAUAGAACAGCCUUUUUAUGUUUUUAUUUUGAUGACUACUCAAUUUGUGAUCCUUUCUACUCCCCUUCCACCCCUCUGCAAUGAGUGUAAAAAGAAAAUGAAAAAUAUAUUAACUUGAAACCUCACUAACCAGCCUUUGGAGAAGAUCCCAUUAUUGUUAAACUCUUGAUCAUCAUCAUAACCACACAUUCAUUGAACACCUUGAUUGUGCUUAUGCAAAGAACACACACAUACACACUCACAGACACACAGACACACACACACACAGACACACACACACACACACACACACACACACACACACCCCAGGCAAAAGUCACAUGAGCCUGUGCUUCUGGGCUUAUAGAUUCUGUGCGUGACAGAGAAAAUACAGUUAAAUGGCCAUCUAAAAGUGCUUCAAUGAGUCCUUCUGCAAUUUCAUUUGCAAGGCCUCACCUAUCCUAUUUUAUCAAGGAACACAAUCCCCCACAAUCUUAGUCACUUUUGGGUUGUGGAGACACAAUACCAAACACCCACAGUUUAAAGAAGGAGAAGUUUAUUUUGGCUUACAGUUGAGUCUUUAGCCUGCUGACUCCAAGGCAAGAUAGCAUGGCUCAGGGGCAUGGUGGAUGUCUGAGCAGUGAAGAAGUAGAGUCGGAGUGAAAGGAGAAGCCUGGGUGGAAAACAGAUCUUUCCAGGUCACCCACACUGAUCCACGUCUUCUGACCAGAUCCCACCUCUUGACAGCAAGUCAGCUCUCAGGCCCACAUUAUCCAGUCACCUUUCAAAACUCCAGCCUAUGAGCACAUGAAGCUUUAGGGGACAUCUAGAUAUAAACCAUAACACCCGUGUAAAUAGACUUUUAUAAGAACCAAAGCUUGCCUAGUACACAUUAGAGCAGCUUCUGCCUUUGAAGUCAUUUUAAAUGAUUCCUAGUAACUCACUCACUUGAUCGCUAAAGGGAAGCUUUAGGAACGUUGUGUUGGUGAAUUCUGGGCUGUUAGUUGUCUUUCUCUGCCUUUUGCCUUUCAGUCAUCUUGGUCUUCAACUUUUCCUCGUCUUCUGGUGUCUGCCCUUCGCUGGAUCUCCCACUUCAGUGGCAGUUUAUUAGUCCAGAAUGUCUUCAGCCCUAGAAAGAAAACUUUUACUCCUCCACCCAAGCAAAUGGCUUUUUAAAGUUACAUUUGAAAAUGAUUGCAUAAUCACCAUUAGCGUUGUAGAAUUACAGGAAAAUGUAGCAGGCAUUUCAUAGCAUAUGGAAGCACAACAUACUUCUCUUGGAAGAGACAAAGAUCAGGUAUCUACCUAAAAAUUAAAGAGUUGAGUAUGAUGUCACACACCUGCAGCCAACCUGGGAAGCUGGGAAACUGAGGCAAUAAGAGAGCUAAGUUCUAGACCAAUCUGAGCAACUACGUGAGACUGUCUCAAAAUAAAAACAGGAACGGGAGUAUAGCUCAGUGUGUAAGCACAGCAUCUGUUAGAUCUUGAGUUCAAUGCCUAGUAAUGAAAAAAAAUUAGAGCCAAAACUGUAAAUUAACUUCAACCCUCUUGAUAAACACUUUAAAAGACUCUCUAGAAAGUGGUGACAGUCAAUACCACCUGAAGAUUUUGAAAUAAAAUCCAUUUUAACUGAAACAAUUGCCAUUACAGUGCUGAAGAAGGAAAGUCCUAACACUUACUGAGUGGUGACGUUUUGUUUUGGGUUCCUUUGCAUUGUGGAUUCACCCCUUCUGACCACCCCAUCAUUGAGGAAAGCUUAUCUCCAUUUUACAGAAGGGAAGCCAUGGGUUAGAGGGUAAGCAUCUUGCCCAAUACCUCAUCAUCAGUCGUAGUGGUAGAAUCAAGAUCUAGCCUGAGCUGUGCUCCUCUGUCACGACAGACCUGGGUACACUGCACCCCGGCCCCUCACCCUCACCUACAAGGAUUUCACUGCAGUUGAGCAAAUGCAAGCAUCAAGGGUAGUUUAAUAACUAAUGAUUCACUAAAAUGAGUACAGAUUUUGUAUUGUGAAUAGAAAGGUUAUUGAUUCCAUUUAUUUUAUGCCCAAGAAAGGGAGACUAAGACAGUUUGGGGCUUUUCAGAUAAGUACUUCCCUGCUCUUUUUAACAUGCUUUGCUGUAGUCAGUCUUACUAAAACUUUUGACUUUAAUAAGAUUAACACAAGGUACUUCGAAGGCUAACUGUAUUUGACUCUUUAUUCAUGUCAGUGUGCAUAUUAAUUUGUAUUGCUGAACGUGGAUUUUUUAAAGUGUACUAUUUUCAUUCUUACACACGGGUCUUCCUUCUUCCUGACAUAACAUCAAUUCAGGCUGCCCGUGUCCAUAUCUGACUUUGUAUUCUCCACUGUAGGAUCCACCAAACUUUAUUUCUAUACACCAGAGAGUAAAUAUUUUAAGUUUUGCGAGUCAGAUGGUUUCCAUUACAGUUACUCACUUGGCUGUUUUGUGAAAAAAAAGUAACUCUAAACUAAUAAACAGAUAAGCAUGACCAUAUUCCAGUAUAACAGGAGGCAGACUGGAUUUGGGUCAAAGGCAUAGACUUCUGACCCCUAAUCUAGAAGAAACAAGUCUGUUUAUUAACAGAUAGUUAAAACCAACCCAAAUCUCUAUGUAACAUCACCAAGAGUUCUUACCUAGUACAUUGUGGACCAUAGAGAAAAUGACAGAGCUCUCCUGAGGUCUGAAAUACAAUUUACAUACAAGAACCACAUCCAUUGAAAGUGUGCAAUUGAUCAGUUUUGACAGGAUUUCUGUCUGUAAUGCCACUGCCAUCGAAGUACAGAACAAAUUCCUUUUCUCUCAAACUGUCUAGAGUUCUGUAGUCCAUUUCCACCACCAACCCUAUUUCCAGGCUUUUUCUGACUUGCUUCUUACUAUAAGUUAGUGGGUCCUUUCUAUAGCUUUAAACUAAUGGAAUCAUACAGUAUGUACUUCUUUGUGUCUGGCUUGUUUCAUUCAAUGCAACAGUUCUGAGACUCUCCACAGUGUUGCAAAUAGAGUUUAUUUCUUUUUAUCUGCUGCGUAGUAGUUCAUUGAAGCAUAGAUAUAUCACAGUUUAUCUGUUCACAGUUGGGCUGAUUUCCACUUUUUGACAUAGUGAAUAAAGCUGCUAUCAAUAGUAGCACUUCUCUUUGGUAAAUUCUAGGCACAAAAUUGCUGGGUCAUAUAUUAGACUAUUUCACUUCUUAAGAAACUGUCAGUUAUCCAAAUUGUUUGCUAUGUGACAUUUCCACAAAGGAUGUAUACAUGAGAUCCAACUAAUCUGUUAUCUUGCCAAAACUUGUUAUUGUCAGGUUUUUAAAUUUUAGGUAUCCUAGUGGGAAUGUAGUCAAAUCUUAUUGUGAUUUUAAUUUACAUUUCACUGAUUAGUUGUGAUUUUGAGCAUCUUUUCAUAUGUUUACUAACCACUGUGUAUCUUCUUUUGUGAAAUACUGGUUUAAAAUUGUUUUUAUUAGUAGGUCAUGUUAUAUUUUUGUGUGUACGUGUGUCUUUUUCAGACAGUUUUACUGUGCAGUGAAGACCGGCCUUUAACUAACUUUGUGCCCCAGACUGGCCUGGAAUUUACAGUGAGCUUCCUAACUCAACUUCCCAACUUUUCCGAAUAUAGGUCUGUGCCACUGUUCACAGCUAAAUUGUCUUAUUGUGAAAUUUAAGAGGGCUUCAUAAGUAUAUAAAACACAAGUCUGCAUAUUACACAUAUAAAAUACUCCCUCUGGUUUGUAAUGCACAUUUUUAAUUUUCUUCAUGGUGAUUUUUAGCAAAAGUUUAAAAUUUUGAGCUAAUCCAACUUACAAAUUUUUCUUUAUGGAUCUUUGUGUUUAUGUCUUACUUUUGCUAUCAUUUCCCAUCUUCAUAGCUACGAGGAGACUUUUAAAUUCCUGUGUAGUUUUAUUUAUUUAUUUUUUUGAACAGGGAAUCCAACUCAUGACCUCGCACUUACCAGGCAAGAGCUUGAGCCCCUGAGCUAGAUCUCCAGCUCCUCCUGUGUAGUUUUAGCUUUUACGUUAAUGUCCAUUAUGUAUUUUGAGCUAAUAUUUUAUACCAUGUAGAAUAAAGGCCAGCGUUCUUUCUUUUUCUCUAUAGUCAUCUAGUUGUUCCGCACCAUUUCUUGAAAUGACUUUCCCCCCACUGAGUUACUUUGGCAUUUUUGCCCCAAAUGGAUAGAUCACAGAAGCGCGGUCCAUAUUUUCUGACUGUAGUUCCAUUGAUCUGUUUGUCUGUCCUUCCCUCUCAUACUGUACUGUCUCUGCCAUACUACAAAUACAGUGAACCUUCAAGUAAAAUAGCAUAAAAUGCUCAGUCUUAUAAAAUUAUUUUGAAAAUUCUAGAGCUUUGUACUUGCCGUAUAAAUUUGAGGGUGAAUUUGAUAAUUUCUGUAAUGUCAAAAAUGCAUAUUAAAAUUUUUAUCAGGAUUACUUUGAAUCUAUAGCUCCAUUUCAGUAAAACAGGGCUCUUCAGAAUCCCGUAGGCUUUUUGUCUAUGAAAACAGAAAAGUCCAAGUUCAGGAAACCAGAAGUCCAAGAUGAAGAUGCUGUUGAUUCUUUCCAGAGGCUCCGAGGGAGCACUUUUCCAUGCUUCUCUCUCUUACCUUUUGGUGUCUGCCUGCAGUCCUCUGUGAAACCUUUUGUGUCACUGUCAACAGGAACGAUCUCAUCUUUUCUGACUUUACCCAAUGCCCUCUGCAUUGCUCUCUUCUGUUGAAGUUCACCUAUAGGUCUGUUCCUGUACUAAACUGGCAGUCAUGGAUUUCUCUCUCUUUUUUUAUUGGUGCAUGUUUGCACUUUGCACAUGUACACGACACAUCUGAAUUCUUUUGUCACCUUUCCCUCCCAACCCUCCCUGUUCCUUCCAACUCUUACUCCUUUCUCAUUUGCAAAAGCUCUAUUUUCUCUCUUUUAAACCUCUUUUUUUCUUAGCAUGAAAGCCAACUAUCCCAUGUGGACCCCACUUUAAUUAAAGUUGUAUACAGUUCUUUUUCUUUUUUUUUUUUUACUUUUGUGCCAGGGAUCUAACUCAUGACCUCGUGUUUGCCAAGCAGGCGCUUACACCGCUGAGCUAAACCCCUGGCCUAAAACCUCUUUUUUAAAAAAACAAAAAAUUCCUUUCCCUUUAUUUCCUCCUCCUCCCUCCUCUUUCGCUCCCCUUCCCAUAUGAGAAAGUUCUCCGUAAGAAUUUCAUCGACUACAUUUGAUGUAUAUUUUAUCCUCUCUUAACUUUUAUAGUGCCUGGCACAUAAUACAUCACAUCUUCUUCCCCAAAACAUUUAAUAAACCAAUUAUUCCACUUAACAUUGUCUAAUUUAUUAUUGUAAUGACACAUAUGUACUUUGAACAUCCUUAGUAAACUAUGAGCAUCUUUUGCAAAAAAUGGCAUGAAUCAUUCAGUGUUUACAUUUCUUACUUCUUUGCCAGACUACAUUCUUUGGGCCCUCUCAAUGGGUGUUUGAAUCUCUUUAACUUGGAAUUUCUGUAAAGGAAAUUUAACCCAAAGUGCUUUGUGGAUAAGUGUUUUGCCUCUAGCAAGAGGUAUAUAGAAAUCACAUAGAAAAUCCAAAACAGACUUUGACCGCAAAGCAUGCUACUUAACCCAGUUUUCUGUUCGCUAUUCUGUGUUGGCCUAUGUAUACCACCUUGGCAUUCUUUUGGUGAUAUCUGGUGCCACCAUUAGGGUUGGGGGUAAUUGGCUUUUGAGUCCCUACGCAGAUGGCAUAAGAAAAACCAAGAGGUCAAGGCCAUUGUAACUCAAGCAAUCUCCAUGACCUUUGAGGAAAAAGAGAGGAUGUUUCCGUAUUUCUUAUGUUACCUUUAUGUAUGUUAACAUUAGUCCUUUUUAGAAGACCAGUGGCUAGUUUGUGUAAGACACAUUCUUUCUCGGUAUGCCUUCAUGCAUGCUGUAGGAAUCACCAGAUCUAACCAUACAGCUUCUUUGCUGUUAUUGAAGAGUUUCUACCUUAAUUCAUUCUCUCCCAACAUAACGCUACUCUACAAGUCCCAUAGAUACAGGUUGCUUAUGAAUAUCAGGCUUUUCUUAAUUGACAGUGACUAAUAAACCUUUUUACCAGGACAGUUCCUCUUAGCUGCAGAGCCAGGAGGAAAGGGAAGAUAGAAAUUUUGCUAUGAUUUCAGACUUUCAAUUGAGACAGUAUGUUUCUGAAGUCUUUCCAGUGUAAAGCACAAAUAGUGAUAGCCUUGUAUUUAUUUAUUUGUAUACAAUUCCAUGGUCAGGAAUCUGAUGCAUCAUCAGGGAAUUAUUUGCAACACAUCAUUGAGGGGAAGACGAGAAACCACACAGAUCACUCCCUGAAGCUUGCAUUAUGGGUGCACUACUUAAGUGUAAGCACUACACAACAGGCCUGAAUCAAGUAUUUCUCUUGAUAUUUUAGUUUCACAGCUUCAGGUUCCUUUUAACUAAGAAAUGAACCAAAUACUCCUCUUACAAUCAUUCACAUUAGGGGAAAAUAUCAUCCCCAUUUUUUUUAAGCCUCAGAAAUCAAGAGGGAGGCUUUCUCCCAAUUUUGACAUAAAUAUGGCUUCAUGAUGCAUGUCAAGCUAGCUUUUAGGAGAGACAAUGUUUAGAUUUAUGACUAAUUAAUAACAUUUAUUUAGGUAAGCUUGUGUCAGAUGAUAUUCUGCACAUGGGUAUGAAAGGAAAAAAGAUGAAAUAAAUAUAUGAUCCCUUGAGAACUGUUUUCAGUUGAAGACUUUCCUGAAUAGCCACUUUUGGGUGGGGGUGUGGAGGGCUAAGCUGACAGCUUUCACACUGAGCUACAUCCUCAACUCAUUUUUACUUUGAGCCAGGGUCUCACUAAGUAGUCCAGGCUGGACUCAUACUUUUGACCUUCCUGCCUCAGUCUCCCAGAGUGUUGGGAUUAUAUGAUUGUACCACCAGUGCCUGACUUUGAGUAACCACUUUAAGUCAAGAGAAAUCAUAGGAAUAGUAGGAGCUAGAAAGAAAAACAAAGGUAGGAUGUGAUAGCUUUUUUUUCUUCCCACCUAAUACUAUUCUUAGACACAACACAGUUCAUGUGACAGUUGUCUUUUAAAAGCUUGGAUGAAUGAGUGGAUGGAUGGAUGCUAAAUUCUGUACUUUCUUGCAUGGCAGCUUGCAAUUGUGUUGAAUUUGUUGUGUUCUCUCAGUAUGCAUUAAAUGGCUAGGAAAGAUCUUUUGACUAGAUCCUGAAACCCAGGCAUGUUCUCUGUGGCUAGAUAGGAUGAGCACCUGGCAGUUUCAUACAUCCCAAAGCAAGUGGAUACCUACAGCUGGAACACUCCAGCCGGUUCCAAUAAAAGUCUUAGAUUGCCCAAAUAAAUGUUAUUUCUUCUUAUAUGGUACAGUUUUAGUUCUUCUUCCUUGAAAAGAGCUGUUCUUGGAAAUAUCCUCAGAGAUCUCCCUACUUAAGCAGGAUACAAGUUGCACUGUUAUGUAAUUCCCUACUGAGGCUCUAUGAAAAGAACAAGUUGAGACAGAGACAGGAAGAUAUUAGGACAAACUUCCCCCAUUCUCUCUACUGCACAACACAGAAGGAAACUUGAUUUGAACAAGAGGACUCAAUUCUUCACGUGCCUUUCUACCCACUUUUACCCAUAAUUCCUUUGAACCAGUGUUUUGAUUUAAGUGGUGCAGAGAAACAAUAAAUGAAAGAAAAAAAGAUAAACUGGCUACUUGAAAACACAAUGGCAUUUAAUUAAAACUAAGCUUGUACAUUAGUGAAAUAAAAUUCUGUGAUUAAACCUCAGGGACACAUAGCACAUCACUGUCCUUUUGCAACUUUGAAUGUUUCUUUUGUGCUUUGGAAGCAGAUAUUCCUCAUACUGUUAAUAAUUGUUCUCCUAAAGCAUCACUAAGCAUUGGGUAUUAGAGUAUCAUAAUCCCAAGGAUUCUGUUUUCUUUCUGUACUUGUUUUAAUCUUGAUUCUUACAUAAGCUUCCAAUUUUAAAUAAUAUAAUCUGUUUAUUUCAUGAAACAACUUUAUUUGCUUAAAGCAAAUAAUCAGGUUAUAAUUGUAUUGUAAAUAAGUCAGUCCUUUCCUUCUCUUUACAUAAAAAAGAAUCCAUGGAUGCUAAAAGGGGGGAGGGGAACUGAUAGAAACAGAAAUCCCACUAGUGUUUUUUAUUUUAUUUUAUUUUUUUUAGCUCAGUUGUUAGAGUAGGUAGAAUUAAUAUGUGGUGGAGAAAAGGAAAAAAAAACUGAAAAAGGUGCUUAGAGCUUUUACUUUAAGCUUCUUCUGAGUCUUCCUUUUGUCUGCUCUUUCUACCACCCUGAUCCUUCCGUCUGUCUGUCCGCAAGCAAAAUGGAGCUACAAGGCAGCGCCCCAUCUGGAAGGGGAGGGAAUUACGCUUCCACUGUAACCCUAAAAACUCAAGGCAGAAACAUGUCUCCAGAAGCUGCUUUUUUGCAUUUCCAAUUUUGUAUCAGAGACACUCCUAAAUGACAUCAGUGAUCUUGAAGGCUUUCUGUAUAAAGAAUUUUCUACAUUAGUAAAAAGUAACAAUUGUGUUUAAAAAUUUAAGCUUGUCUGGAAUCUUUUGAGGUGGAAAAAUGGCGGGGAGGGAAAUGUGCGAAACAAACUUUCCAUGUAUUCCUGUGAACUGAACAAAUUCCUGGAAGCACAGGAAAGAUUGAUUGCCAAACAGUCCUAGUGGGGUCCAGAGAUGGUGGGGUUCAGUCAUCUUGAGAGAGCCGAGAGGAGCAUAGAUUUAUGUACUACCAGUACAACAUGUGGUGUAAAACACAGGUUUUGGUUUAAAGAAAUAGGUUGCCUGACAACCUUGGGAAAAAAAUUCUUCUUGGAUGCCUGUUCUCUUUUUAAUUUUUUUGAAGAUAAAAAAUAAGGAAAUAAACAUGGUCCUAAAGAAGCAAAGGUUUUCAGUUUUAUUUUUGCAUCAUUUUCCUCUUGCAUUUAAGAGUUAAGACAACAUUUCAGGAGAGAAACAUGGAGAAGGGUAAAGGGAAGUCAAUAACGUUAUUCUGUGACUUUUCCCAGGAGGGGACUCUGUUAAUCGAGGAUAGGUUGCUUGGCUAUAUAUCAAAUCCAAGGAGAAAGCAGUGAUUUCAAAGCACAUUCUCCUGCUAGACUCAAAGAGGUGCACACACACACACACAAAGAAAGAAAUUUAUAUUAUAUAUACAUAUACAUCUAUGUGUAUUUAAACACAGGUAAUUUUUGUGAGAACAACAUAUAUGAUUUCAAUAUAUAAAUAUAUUUAAAUAUAUAAAUAAAUGUGUAUGUAUAUGCACAUUUAAAUACAGGUAAGACGAAUUUUUACAUAAUUAGUAAUAGUAGCCAAAUAUUCUAUUAAGGUUUCAUAUGUAUUGAUCUAAGAUUAUUUUACAUUUUAUAAUUGUCUCUCAUAAUUUUUUGUCUCCUUAUCAAAGAAAUUGAUUUGAAAAGCUUAAAGUAACAGACAACGGACUAGAAAGCCGGAGUAGAAACUCCAUUCUCUGACCCAAGCUCACUGGAAGUAUCUUCAACCACAGGGAACCUUCUAAGGAGGAUUUCUGCGUAACUUGGGUAGUCAUUGUCUCUUGCAGUUGACAUUGUAGAACUUUUCAGUUGGUUUUACUUCCGUGAAUGACGUGAGUGCAGUUGGCCAAGGAGAGCCAGUCACCCCAGGCUGCAGCAUCGUGCCCCUUGGAAGCAGCCAUGGUUUCUUCAUUAACAGAUCUAGGCAAUCACUGGACGAAGUCAGAGCACCUGUCUGUUAAGCUGACAAUGCAUUCUCAGGGUAGCUGUUCUCACCGGACUUCCUCUUUCCUGCAUGCAAUGGGAUGACUCAUUCUUGUCCUUCUCAACAACAGGCUUUCUUAUUGCCCAAAAAUCUUGUCAAAUUUUUUUGCUCUGCUCAGGUACCAGGAGAUUUUUGCAGCCAGCCGAAUGGUGAUCUCCUUUGUGUGAGUCAGUUGGCCAUGAUUAUUUCCAUACCAUUGAGGCUUUAAAUUUUUCUUUCCUUAUUUUGUAUAUUCAGACUCUAAACUGUUUUUAACAUUAGCUAAGAAGCUCUAUUUUCCAAAUCCGAAUUCUAUCUAUACCAUAGCGGUUAAGAAAACAUUCCUGUAAGGAAAUGGAAUCCAGGCAAAGAAGCCUGCAAUUCUAAAAUUCCCCUGGAGAGAACUAGAGAAUUCCAGUCCAGUCCUCUCAUUUAUAGUUGAGAGAGCUAAUGAUCUGAGAGGUGAAAUGUCCUGUCCAAGGUCACCAUGACAAAGUGAGGCAGAGAACUUCUACCUCUUAAAUUCCAGUUCUAUAUUUCUUCCUUUGGGUCGUGCGUCUUGGGACCACUACAAACAGAAAUAGAACCUGCAGUUCAAGUAAGCAGACCAGACAAAGACGUGUCAGCUUCGGGUUUUCCCUAGGGCUAGAUUCCAACUCUGUGUGCAUAACUCAGUCAGUGAGGCUUCAGCGUCUUCAUGGAGGGUAGAAGAUUCAUGGUUACCGAAGCUACUUCUUUGGCGUUUUCUGUUCCCUAAGAUCCAGCCCAGAAUCUGGAUCUAAUUGAACUCUCACUUUUCCUUGUUUAUUUUGGAUGUGGUUGCACUUUAUUUGAUAGCGCUUAAUUUAUCUUUGAGUUGACUUGAGUUGUCUUAGCUCACUUAAUAUUCAGUAUUUUCUGAAUGUUUACAGUAUUUCUGAGUGUGGUGUAUCUCACACUGUGUUAAUUACAAUCACAGUGCCACACACCCUGUGUAACACAGACUCACAGUGCAGAGGGGGCACUGAGGAAUGAGAGACCGAGACCACCAAAGGCAGAGAAAGAAGACUCAGCAGACGGGGUGAUAAUUCUCCUGCUUUGACUCCCUGUCUUUCUUACCAGGGCAAAUAAGUUAAUUUCAGGCAUGAAUAUUUCCCAAACUAAUCUCUCCCUGUUUUCAAAAGAAGCAAAAUGAUAUGUGGGUUUCUUUGCUUCUGUCCUACUCUGUGGAUGUCUCAUUCAUUUUCUAUGAAUUCUCUGAACAAAACUGACCCUUCAGUCUGUUCUUACCACACUAGGGAAAGCAAGUCAGCAGACCUCAGAGAGAUAUGCACAUACAGAUUAGUCAGGAUGAAGAUACUGCUUGUCAAUUAUUUCUUCCUCUACUUUUGUUUUUCAAUUCUGUUUUCUUUGUUUUUAAAAACAUAUUGACAUGUACACCCCUAAAAGUUUACUAGACGUAUCCAAAGUACUGUGUUAAGGUUUUACCUAGAAUCGGAAUGCCAGUCUGAUUUUUACUUGCUUUAUGUUUUUUGUUUUUUUUUUUUUUUUUUUUUUUUUUGUCUUUUUCAUUUUUAUCGGUACCGGGGAUCGAACUCACGACCGCCUGCUUGCAAGGCAGGUGCUUAUGCCGCUGAGCUAAACCCCCAGCCCCUUGCUUUAUGUUAAAAGCACUUUUCCUCCUUCCUUUUCUAUAAAUGUAAGAUGUAAACAUUGGAUAAUUGAGCUCGUGAUGGGAAAGGGAAAAUCCUCAGUUAAAGAUUGUUUAUCUGUUUUUAAUCAGCUGAGUGGUCUGAGCUCUGUAAUAUUAUCACCUAGAACUACAUUAAAGUCCCAACAGUACUAAGUAAUCAUUUGUAAAAGUCCUGUUAUGUGGCAGGUACAAUUCUGUCAGUAAAAUCAAAAUCAACACACAGUCUGUCCUAAUUUAAUACAUUAAUGAUCAUGAGAAGCUAAACAUAUAGAUGACAGUCCUAGAAACUGAAGAAUCAGGUUGGGUAGUUAAAACAUCACAACUAAUCUUUAAAGACUUAAGAAUGUCAAACAUAUAUUUUGAUUCCUCCAGAUCCUCCCGAUGAGGAACAUCUUGGUUACAGACUGUAUGUGGUUUGCCCAGUUCUGGUCUGGAUUAGGGUUUGUGGUUCAAUAUCCAUGAAAGCUAAAACAGCACAACCCAGAAGACAAUGCUAGCUUGCUUUGACACAAAUCUUUUGGUAUUCACAUCCUUGCUAUUUGUAGCAGACAGAGACUCCUUGAGAAGUGUCGAAUGUGCCAAAUUUAAAAUCUCUGAAGUAGCAGUUUCCACCUUUAAAAUAUUCCUUGGCUUCUCCCCAGAGUGUUCCUUUGUAUUACUCUUUUAAUCGCAACAGGAAUUCUGAUCGUGUUGCAGCACCUUGGACACAAAACUAUGUCUCAAAUUUUGUUUCUGCGUUCUUUUAAUUUUAUUAAGUCUGCACACCCAUUUUGAAACUCUUAACUAUUGUAUAAAUGUUUGAGUGAGUUAAAUCACAUGUCACUGAACUUCUUCCUUACUGUGCUAGUUUUCAUUAAUAAUGAGGAAACCAAAGUACCUAAGGCGUGAAUAUUAUUAAUGAUGCCUCAGAUUUGUGUGAACCCAUCCUUUGAAUGAAUUCAAGGUGAUUUGUACAUAUAAGCUCAUUCCUUCCCCACAAGGGGUGGCCUGAGACUUAGAUUCUGGGCUUGGUGCUGUUCGCAACCAUCCUGGGAAAUAUGGUUAGUUGUUAACUGCCUCAGUGCCCACCUGUGAAACAAGAAUUAUGAUUUGAGGGUUGUUUCUCCCUCUCUUGAUCCCAAACCUUCAAAAUCUGAAUGAUUGAUAAGAUGACAACAACAAAAGACUCCACAAAACUGAAAAUUCUGAAAGUCUAGAAAUGAAGCUGAACCUUGAAUUUUUUAAUGACUUGAAAAGGCAAGUGACUCUUAAAAUCUGCAUCAUAAUCCAGCUUCUCCUUAAUGAUGAGUCCUCUCCUGCCUGUCUUCCUGCUUAUACCUUGAAGGAUACUUAGAGGUCCAAGGAAAAUGCAUACAACGAAAGGGACCCAAUCUUCUAAAAGCACUAAUCUGGUCAGCCAAAAGUCUCUAGGAGCCCUGGGAGCCCUAGGACUGGAUCUGGGCUGAGAAACUCCUGGCUUCCCAUACGUGAGCCUUUCCUCACCUUUCUCCCUUGUUAUCUCCAGGCUACGCACAACAGUUUCAAAAACUAUAAGAGUGAGUCCAAACCAAAUCCCUGGCCUGUAUCCUUGCUUGAAUAUCAUCUCUAGACUCCUGGCCUCGUAAUCGCAAUCUUUAAAGGUUCAAAAGGACAGAAAUAUGCCUUUUUGUUUGCUAACUUGAGCCUAAUAACAGAAUUGCAGGGAACCUAGACCGAAAUAGAACUUGGCUCUUAGAUGACAUCCUUCAGCCAAGAAUAAUGAUUUUCACAAUGUUGGGCUCACUCUUCUUAGUGCAUAGGUAAUGGGCAUGUCACAUUCCGGAUUUCUUUCUCUCUGUCUCUGUGUCUCUCUCCCUCUCUCCUUCUAUCCCUCUCUCCUUUCAUCCCUCCCUUGUUUCCUUCCUCUUUCUCUCAGCUCUCUUUCUCUUCUCAAUAUUAUAGAAAUGUGGGAACUUUAAUCUCUCACCUCCAUAGCCCCUAAGACUGUUGAAUUGAACUUGCUACAAAUAUGUCAAGCCAGACGCACAAUCAGUGGACCAUAGACUACCUUGCAGACAACCACAAAGACUAUAUGGGUCCAUUAGAUAAAUUCUGGCCUUUUUAUGAAGUUAGGCUACAAGCCAGGGAAAGUCCUUUAAUGAGAAGAAAGUAAUAGAAUUAUUUUACAUAGUCAUAUCAAUAAAUAUGAUUAAAUAAUACCAUACUAAUGAAUUAUUGACUUUUCCCCAAUACCCUAAAAAGCUAAUAAAAGCAAAAAAAAAAAUCUUACUAGAAGAAUAAAAUCAAGAAUUGAGCCUGACACUGCUUAGUUUGACACUUAGAACUGGUGUGAAUUUGAGCUGUAAAUGGACAGAUGGUUCCAUUUGAAACCACUGGAACUGUGGAGUGCCUGGACCACUUUCUGCUCUCUAUUGGUUUAAAAUCUUAUUACUUUACAAAAAGGGCUUUGCUGACCCAACUGUACCUAAAUAGGCAUCCUCUUCCUCAUCUUUCCAUGAAGAGCAGUUAGCUAGCAAGAGGGUCCUGCGGGGGAAUCUACAUUUUAAGCACAUUUAAAGCAGAAAGACUAGCGAUGCAUCCAGCUUGGCCUCCAGAAAUUUCACUAACCCCCAAGGGAUAUAUCAUUAUGAACUAUGCUCUGGAUUGAUGUGAUACAAAUUAUCCAGCCUAGUGAAGACAGUACUUAUUGGUAACCAAAUCCAGUGAUGUCAAACAGGCGAACAUGAUAAGGAAGGACACAGUGAUGAUACUGAAGUCUCUCUUGCCCAGCCCUAGAGACACAGACUGACUAGAUGAUGAGCAGGAUGCCUCCACCCCAGCACAGACUCCUGAGCACCUUUGCAGCCCAUCUCUCCUUCUCGUCUCCACCGUCAUGACGUGUGCUUCUGACUUUGUUCCCCACAUGUGUUCUCGCAAGACUUUUGGGAUCUACUAAUCCCCAGGAAAUGGAAGCAAUGCUGUCCCCUUCACAGAUGGAUUCAGAUGAACACUGGUGAUAAAAUCAGGUGCAGCUCCAAGAAGAGAAGAGACACUGGAGAAGCACCAAGCUGGGUGGACAAGGCAUUGCCUUUGUGAUGGCACUAAGAUUGCAUUAAGAUCAGUGUCAUCUAAGCAAGCUGCAAACAUCACCACUGCACUUUUUCUCUGUUUCUAUGCUCUGCACAGUAAAUUGAUUCAGUAGUAAGUAUAUGAAAAUUUUGUUGGUUAAAUAAAAAGGCUAGGAUAGAUGCUAACCUGCCAAGGAUGGCAAUUAUAGGUACUUGAAAUAUUCUUUCCUUAGGCAAAAUAAGGAGUAGUCUAAUCUUUUUCAGAAUAUACUUCAUAAAACCCUGAAGUCAUUUAGGUCAGAUGGUCAUGAACCAUUUCUGGCUUCUCAGCCUCUUUUUUUUUGAAAUGAGGACAUCAGAGCUGGAUUGCUUAGCAUAGCUCUGGACUCACCCACACAUGCUCAGGUGUAUAAGCCACCCCUUCCUCCACACAGCCCAGAAUAGUCCUUCAUGCUGUGUCACCCUGCACGCUGUCAUUUGACUAUAACCUUCUCAUCCACAGAUCAGUGAGAGUUUAGACAGUUUGGAGGACUUCAAACAAGAAAUGUCAGGAUUUUGCAACUCACAGAAAGAAUUAAGCAGACCAAUUUUUGAUUUUGCUGAAAUCCAAGCAGGACCUCAGCCAGAGGAGUUUUAGAAAUGAAGCCUGCAAGUCACCAUUUCUUAAAUGUUCCUUUGGUUUGGCAUUUUGGUAUUUUUCUGAAGGGCAUUUACAUAUGAAGUUUGCUCUCUCUGGAAACUGUGACCAAAACAAUAUUAAUGAAAACAUAUUCAGACACAGUUAAGGAGCCCGUGCCACAUGGCAGGUGCCGUGCCUCAUUUUGAGAAUACAGAGGGCCCUGCCUCUGCCACUCUUCAUUACUUUAGAGUUAAAAGUAGAUAUAGCAUAGUAGGUAGAAGAUGCAUCAUUUCCUGUGCUCUAGCUAAGGAAAUUACACUGCCUAGCACAUUACCUGCUAUAUACCUAAGUACUCAGUAACUAUGCAUUGGAUAAAAUCUGCAAAGUAAAAAGAAUGAACAAAUGCUAAGAUUAAUAAGGCUAAGGUGCCAAGGGAAGCACAGAGGAAAAAUUAAGCUAGCUUGAGAGACCAACAAUAGAGAGUAUUAUUUAUCCUGAGACAGAACAAAGGAUAUGAGGCAAAGGAAAGACCGUGCUUCCACAGCUGGAUCUAGAAUCAAACGUUAGCAGUGCUAUACAUAAGGCAGGUCGUUCUGAUUGUUCUGUACCUCACUCUGUGCAUCUGAGAAAUAUUGAUGAUACCUUAAAGGCUGGUUUGAGGGCUGAGUAAUUAGUUAUCCAUGACAGAGACAUAGAAGACCCUCAAUGGUAGCCAUUAGAGGAAUCACGGAGAACAGAAUUGCAAUGCUAAAGCAAUAAAUGCCUCAGUAGUAGUUCACAGAACAAGUACUUUGAGGGAUAGAUGCCAAUAAUAAACUUCAAAGUGCACUGGAAAUAAAGAGAGGUGCUUUGGCAGUCCUUAGCUGCUAAGCCAAGGCAAGGUGAGGGAGGUGGAUGACCUGUGGGAGACUCUUCCUCUUCCGCUCCACCCUGGAGCUUUCGCAGUCAGCUCUCAGCUGCAAAACCCUAUUCAUUCACAGUAUGGUAAAAACUUUUUCAUUAUUGUCAGCUAAUCUUAGGGUAUUGUGAUUUAGCUGCUCCUGCAGAUGUUUGACAUAGAGUAUAAAAGUGUGUGUGUGCACGCUCAUGUGUGCGUGCAAGCACGUGUGUGUGCGUGUGCAUCCACUCACAGUAUCAUACUCUGCAGCCUUCUAUGAGCCCUCAUUGUUUUCCUCCAGAUAGUCACACAUACACCAGAUUCCUUUCUCUGUUCUUCCUUCUGCCCACUUAUGUACGCAACAGCCUUCUCUGUUGCACACAUAGAGUUAGAGCACUUUGAUUUAUACACACACAUGCACGUGCGCAUACACACACAUACACGCACACACAUCCACGUGCACCUGUUCUCUGCUGGCUUUAGCUCUUUUCGAGUGAGCAUUGAAGAAGUACUUGCGAUAAACUGAAUUGUUGUCUACGAUAAUAUAGUGAGGAGGGGGAGAGGGAAAGGGUCAGCACCUGACUUCGGAGUUCGUCCAUAACGUGAGAAAGAACAUAGUCAAAAAUGUCAAACAAGACAGGGAGUGAAGCCAAAGAAAGGUAGUGCGGUGCCCAGAUUGAACGAAACAGAAAAACAAGAAAAAUGGUUCCCUUUGAAAGGGAUCAGAUUUGGGGUAGUAAAAAUUAGAGAUGCUGAAAUUAUGAUAGAAAAAGGGAAAGCCAUUGAUUGGGCCUUUGAAACCAUGCCAGGAGCCCAGAGCCAGGGGGCAGUGGCAGAGGAGCCGGCCAGGUAGGACAAUUAAAACGGAAAUCUGGCUCCUUACAGCACAGCAUGGAGCGGGGCUACAGAAUUUGCUGCAGUGGGAGGUGGGGCCGGUCUGGCACAGUCUGUGGGUUUGAAAGGAGCUGGGCGGGUUAGAGAAUGCCAGUUAGCCUUUGUAGUGCUCAGCUCCGAGAGGGGUGACAAAUACUGGGCUUCAGGUCAGAAGCCUGGCCUGAGUGGCUUUUGGAGAAAUUUCCUCCCGGCUCCUAAACUCUUGAAAUGUGCUCAUCACAUGUUGGGCUCCAAUCACAGCAUAAACACGUGUCUUGGAGGCCGCCUGCCAGCAGAUUUCGGCAUUGGUACCUGUUGGCUGACUGACUCUCCCCUUCCUGUGUCCCAGAAGCCAUCCCCUGGGCUGAACCCGAUCUCUCUGCACACUCCUCUACCCUUCCCACAGCUUGCCUCUCCCAGAGCCCUAGGGUUAAUCCCCAGGACAACCUUGCUUUGAAAGAAAAUAUGUGGUGAGUCUACUUGAAAUUUGGAUCCCAGAGGCCCCAGUCUGUCCUGCCUCUGCCAGACCCAGCCAAGCAGCUCGAGGAGAUGGACAUUCACAGAGAGAGCUGUAAGUUUCUGUUGUUUGUUACUUUCAAGGCUUGGUCGCUUACAGAAUUAGGGUCCUCAAAAGCAUGGGGUAAUCUUUUCUUUUCCCCCUCUUUUCUAUUUUUCUUUCUUUCUUUCUUUCUUUCUUUCUUUCUUUCUUUCUUUCUUUCUUUCUCUUUCUUUCUUUCUUUCUCUUUCUUUCUUUCUUUCUUUCUUUCUUUCUUUCUUUCUUUCUUUCUUUCUUUCUUUCUUUCUUUCUCAGCAACAAUUUUCCCUCCUGGGGUGAUUCAUAAAAGCAAUUAAAUUGGAAAGUGCUCCUUCAUCACUGCUCAUAUCCUGGGUUAGUGAUAUCCGAGGCUGAUCUGUGCACCUCUAUUCUCAACCCUGUAAUAUUUACAAUGUCUCUGCAUUGUUAAACUGAUUCGUGCUGAUGGUCCUUCUCCAGAAUGAAUGCUACGCAGCUGGCUGAUGGAUUUCCAUGAGGCUACGCUUGUCCCAGGACUUACACAGACAGCCUCUUUGGGGACUUUUAUUCAUAUUUGCUGCUCCUCAAAGAGAAAGAGAGAAGGACUUGGGAAGGAGGGUGUGGCCCAGCUGAUUCAGCUUCCUUCUUGGCACAUCACUGACUCUCUCUGCUCCUCCCUGUCCCCACGGCCUACCCCUCGGUCCCCUACUCCAACCUGAGCCUGCCAUCCCUGCAGUAUCAUCCGCCUUUCUGCUGAAACCUUGUUACACUCUGCCAAGUCAGGGACCAAGCCCAUAGCCAUACUCAUUACAUUUGUGAUCUCAGCAUAUUUUCAGAGCAAGACACAUACCAGACAAUAGCAUCUCCUCUCUAGGCUUCUCCCACCCAGGGGUUAGUAGCCAAAGUAAUAAUAACCAUUGUAAUACCGUGUUUGGAAGCUCUCUAGCACAUACAGAUGUUAACUAGUUAAUCUUCACAACUCUCCAUACAACAGAGGUAAAUAUUCUUAACCAUGAGAGAAGAUACACAUGUAUAUGCUAAGGACAGCAAAAUAGUUCACUUAUUUCUCAUGGUUCACUUGAUAUAGUAACUGGUAUUUUUAAAACACCCAUCAUAGAUACAAUAAUUAGAGAUAUGCUUUUGUUAACAAAGCCACUACCCACUUCUAGCGUACCCUGGGGUACUAAAUAAUUACCCACUUUGUGUGGUUAUCUAGCUCACUAAUUACCCACAGAAAUUGGGGUCAGGUGUUAACUGCUUGAAAUAAGUAUCCUCCAAAGGCAUCGCUGAGUUGUAUGGAGAAAAUGAUGUGCUCGUACCAAAACUUUCAUAAGUCAUAUAUUUGUAAAUCUUUGUAAGUAGAGUGAAUGCAGCAAAUCAGCAUAGUAUGUGCAAAUCAGGCUGGACUAUUGUCACAAAUACAGAGAAGUUAGGAAAUCUCGCUCUCUACCUUUCCUUUGUGAGAAUGGGUGCAGGAGCAUAUGUGCUGGCCUUAUUACACAAGUACACUAAGACAGUUGAUGAUUCUAGUUAAGAAUGAUUCAUUUUGGCGUUACAGGGAGGCACCCUGUGAGUCAAAGAUUUUUUUUUGACAGCUCCACCCUUUAUGAUUAUUCUAGCAUGUUUCUUUUUUCUCUGUCAGUCUAGUGCAAACACCCUGUUCACCAAAUCUGAGGGAUUCUGACCCAGUCACCAUCCCUUGACAAAUCUCCAUCUACUUCCCAACCAUGACAAAAAGAAAAAAAGUAUUAAAAAAAAUGCAACGCUUCAUAGGUUGUUCUUUUUAUUUCUCACUCUGUUUGUCUUCCUCUCCUCUGGUUUCUCUUUCUGUUUCUCCGUCUCAUGUGUGCUUUCUCUUUUCCUUUCUCUUGGCAUCCAGCCGAGCUUCUGCAGGUCUUACUGUCAGAGACAAAGCACAAUGUACGUCUGAGUUGCACACAAAGACGCUACCUUUGAAAAACAUGGACUUGGAGGAAACUCUGCUCUCUUGCUAUUUACAGAACCUGACAUUCUAUUUAACACAGUGCUGCCCGUCGUCUGCUUGAUUCUAGCUGGGAAAACUGGGUUACAAUGGCCACGUACCCACUGUGCAUAUAGAUAGGUAGAGACCCUAAUUUUCAAGAUGUACUUGCUUUAGAAGGUCACUGUGUCAUAGAGGUUUUAAAAUGGAUAUGAUGUGAGAUGCCCUCUUACUCAACUGGAGAUAGCUUCCUUUUUUUUUUUUUUUUUCUUAUGCCUCUUUUUUGUACCUGAAAUAUUACUUGUCAUUAUCUAGGGAUUUUAGGCUGAUCAAUGAAGUGUGUAUGUAUCUGAUGGACAUUUGAGAAGAAAAAUGCUUCAGCAAUCAAGAAAAUGCCUGCAGUGGCAGCAAAGGGUUAGGCUGAGCUGCAGAGAGUGAUGAGUGUAUUUCAAAAUCUAAGGGAACUGAAAUGGUAAAUUAGUGCCGAUUACAACUACAAUCAACAAGCGAAACCCAGACAUUGAAAGGAAAGAGAUUUUUAGCGUUGUAGCCACUACAAGCCCAGAGAGUGUCUAUGUAUCUUAAAUAUAGAUUUGAGUCGUUGCUCGUCUAUCCCUCUAAAUGCUUAUUUCAAAGAAGUGGUGGGCAUUGUGGACUUUCUGUCCAUAAAAAAAUCUACCAAGAUUCACAAAAUGUAUCACCUGCACUCAUGGGUGCAGGAUGCUGCCAAACCAUUAAGCAAGGCGUGCACUGAGGUCUCCCUUCUUUGCUCCUGGACCGCCACCCUCCCGCCUUUUCCCCUCCCUUUUAGAAAAUGUGAUACCUGAUCUCUUGGUCUAACAGGCUGAGGAUUUUUUUGAAUUUGUGUAAUACAAUGUCUGGCCUUCCCCCUGACCUGCUGGUGUAUUUUUGGUCUCAUUAGUAGUCAGGGAGAUGCUUAAGAGCAUCCGGUGCUGUGAGUCUGGGAUGAGACACACUACCACGGAGGAGGAGGAGGAGGAUGAAGAGAGAGGAAGGGAGGGAGGGAGGCAAGGAGGGUGGAGGAGAGAGAGAGAGAGAGAGAGAGAGAGAGAGAGAGAGAGAGAGAGAGAGAGAGAGAGAGAGAGAGAGAAUAAGAAUGAAUGAGAAUAUUAGAAGAGGCUUGUCUCCAAGAUAUGGAAGGAAGUGAGAAAUGACAGGGCAGGGCGCUGAGCUUUGUAUGGAGGAGCAUGGCGGGGCGGGGAGCGGCGCUGAGAGCCAAGUGGAUUCUCAGAAAAGCAGGGAAGCCAUAGAGGAGCUAAAGGUGAUUAGAGGGGGAUAUUGAUUCCUUAUUCUGCCGGAGAUUUAAGCAGGCACGCGAGGAAUCUGCACCAUGGUUGGCAAAGGGAGACCCGUUACCUCCUGUAACCAGACACUGCAGCUUUCCAGGAGCCCAGGGAGAGAGCCGAGAAGAAAGGGGGCAGUGUGGUCUAGGAAAAUUCAACUUGUCGCUGAUUUGUGCCUGAUGCUUGCUGUCCGUCAGCAGCCUCCCUUACAAUCUCUCUCUCUCUCUCUCUCCUUCCCCCCCCCCCCACCUUCUCCUUCUUCACUGAAGCCUAGGGGAGCCAGGAAAGAUUAAAUGUGCUUUCUCAAAGGCAGCCACUUCAUGCUGCUGUGUCGAAAGGGUUAGUAUUAGUAUUAUUUUUAAUAGUAAAAGAAAAGAGAGACACACACGGAGGGAGGGAGGGAGGGAGGGAGGGACAGACAGAGAGACUAGGUAUAAUCAUGACGGACUGGCUUUUCUGAGAGGAAAGGGAAGAGGAAAGGGACAGAAAAAGGAAGGAUCCUAAACUGAACGAAGGCUUGUGCUUGAGAAGAACCUACAGAGGUGAGGAAAAAAAAGGUGUGUGUGUGUGUGUGUGUGUGUGUGUGUGUGUGUGUGUGUGUGAGUGUGUGGGGGGUGCUGAACAGAUCCUGUACAGAGGGAAAAGGGAUACAAUUUGGCUGUCGUGGCAGCAUGAUCCUAUUUUUCAAAGGGGGAGGGGAAGCCGAGGAACCUGGAGCAUGUGGAAAUAUAUUAAAAAUAUUUCACAUGUUUUUUCUAAGCGCGGAGAUCCCUCCAGUGCCUGGCCGGCUAUGGGUGCUUUGUCAUUCUCUUUGACUAGCCAGCCGUCUGGUUUGCUCAGGCUCGGAGUGCGCUAAAGGAGAAAAGAAACAGAGGAAGAGAAUGUUUAAAGACAGUCUUCUUGCUUCGCACUUCCCAGCUGCCUUUGCUUUCAUUUUUUUCUUUUUGGGAAGCAGCACGGGAGAGCACGGGUCCCAGCAGGAUGGGGAAGCGCGACUGUCUCUCAGGUAGAGAACCAGGAGCUCCUGCGAAGAUGGAGUUGAAUUAUGCUCCGGAUUCCUCUAAAACCCUGGCCGCAGCAUCCGCAGCGGGAGGUGGGGGCUGGAUCCCCAGGGCGCACCCACCCCUUCCCUGCUGGAGUCUCCGGGAUGACAGCUCCCAGCUCUUCUCGCCGCUCUGGCCUCCGCUGCAGCCCAGCAGCUGGUGCAGAGGAGGGCCCGGUUUGCAGGGUUUGCAGGGCUGGCAAGGUGCGUGCUAAAGAAAGGAGAAAAAAAUUUAAAGCAGCACCGGGGAGGUUCUGUGUGUCUCCUCCUCCUUCUUUUCUUCUUCUUCUUCUUUUUUUUUUUUUUUCUCCCCCUCUUGCUUUUUCUUUUUCAAAAACAAAUUUUAACUGAAUAUUUUCCAAAUUUGAUCCGCACCAGCCCCUCCCUCCACUCCCACCCAGCUGCCUGGUUCCCUCUCCCCUCAGCGCAUAAACUCCAGAGUUACAGUCUCUAGAUUUGGUGUAUCGCUUCCUGCCCCCGCCUCCCCCUCCGCGCCGCCCUGUCCUCGGUCCGCUAUUGAAACACCUCGCCCAGCAUAGCGCUGCGAGCUCACUUCUCCCCUGGCUCCCCGCUGCUCCUGGAGGCCGAGCAGCCCCGCUCCGCUUCAAAUGGGUGAGUUUAAAACGCUCUGCACAUGAAUAUUUUCAUAGUCUCCGAAUCCUGCCUCUCGGUCUUCGCUUCCCAGAAAUCCGAUUUCUGUGAUUUUGCAUGCGGCAUGCCUACCCCGGGGGAACCAGAGGCUUCAUAUGUGCUUCUCAGUCAUUUGUACGCGUUGUAAAUGAAAGCUUUGAAGAGACAUUUUAAUAUGGAUUGCAGAUCAUGGUUUUUUAAAACACGAGCAUUUCUAUAUCUAUUUAUGUUAUUUUCCAUUUUAGUAAAAUGUUUUGCCCAAAGCGUGAAAGAGUUUUCUGUGCUAGACUGGCAGUUGUAUGUGCAGGUAUGUAUAUGCACCUCCAACUCUUGCGGAUGCUUGGAUGUAUAGAUGAUAUUUAAAUGUGACCUCAAUUUUGUGGAGGCAGGGAGGUUAGGGAGCGAGGACAGAUCCUAACACCUGUUUGUUGCCUUUUUGUCGUGACCUUGGAACAGAAAUCGCCUCUCAUUCUUCUUUUGCUUUGUUUUCUCUCAAGAAAGAAAAAAAUCGGUUGCGCUCCUCUCAGUCCCUGAGACCCUAACUUGUGAUGUUUACCGUUUAAAUCCACGGGUUAGGCUCUUGGGAGCUGCGAGUCGUGCCUUCACAUCUUGGAAAUUUGGUGGAACUUUUUUUUUUUUUUUUUUAAGUAAAAAAGAAAAGAAAGUUUGUCUGAAGCUGCUGAGUUCACCUCUGAGGUUUUCAUUGUUAGAUGAGAUCAGGUGACCAGAAGCAGCAGCUCCUAAAUUCUUAUUAAAAUAGGCAUAUACAGGGUUAGAAUCGCGCGUGGGCUGCUGUGUAUGCGUCUGUACAUUACUGAUGCCUGAGGCUUGUGGAACUUUUCCUUGAGAGCAACACGCAGUACUAUCCGAGCGUAACAAGAACCGCUCAGUACCUGGUGCUUGACCUCAGAACAUUUCUGCUGAAUUCCCAGCAUGCCCCAUGCCUCCAACUUUUAAGCUCAACAGUUAAUCUCAAAAACUGUACCCCAUUAAGAUGGGCGUAAGGAUAUGUGGUGUGUGUAGUGGUCACACGUGUAUCAUAUAUGGGCAGACAGUGAUCGCCACACUCACACAGAACGAACAAGUAGUUUGGGCUAAAAUACUAAUAGUUUAAAAUUCCACUCUUGCUAUUCUGCACAAAGGAUGGAAUCUAUGAUAUUAAUUAAGAUUAAAUUUGUAUUACUUCUCAAGUUUUUUUAAAAAAAUAAAACAAAAGGGAUAUUGCCUCCUUGUGUGGUACCUUUUAAAAACUGUUGCAAUUGAAUUUAAAAGUGAUAGGGAUUAGAAAUACAUUUUUGAAAUAUGUGAAAUGAAAGAAACAAUAAUUACUGUGUUUUUAAGGAGUAAUCAAUACUUUUUACUGGCAAACAUUUUAUCAGGGUUUAAAUUUGAUGCAACAAAGUUAUUCAUAACACCAAACACUAAGUUAUUUAUGAUAUCAAACACAAAAUUAUCCUUUUUUGUGGUAAUUGUUAGCAUUGCUUACUUUGUCGUUUUCUGGAGCUGGAACUUUUUAUAGCAGAAUAAUUUCAAUGAUUUAGGUUUGUUUCAUGAUUGGCAAAGGGAAACAGUAACUUACCUUUCCUUUGUUGUGAAAAAUUCCAGAAUACAAUUUUGUUGAAACAGUUUUAUUAUUCCUGACACAACCUUUCUCUAACAUUUUUUAAGAAAAUACCAGAAUCAACCCUGACUUCAAAUGUCUUGUUUUAAAGAUCUUAUAUUUGUUGUAACCUCAUUUUAUAGAUACACGUAGUCGAAGAUUAAGCAAAUGUUGUUUUCCUGUUUUUUUAAAAAGUGUUUAUUGCAAUUUCAGUCAUUGAUUCCAAAUUGCAGAAACCGUUUUGUAUCAGAAGACUGAACUGAGAAGACUGAACUGUACACAAUCAUACUGUCUUUUGUUGAAACUCCAUGCGUAGCUGUGAUAUUUAAAUACUACCUUCUAGUCUUUGAUAGUGAGAACAUGCUUCAAAGAAAAGUUAUUCAAUUUUUGUGUAAUCUUUACUUUAUCUAAAAUGAAUUGAUGACCUCCCAUCACAGCUGAUGUGCAUGCAUAGAUAUUUGGAAAUUAUGGCAAGGCUUCUAUUUAACUUUAUAGAUAUAUAUUGCCACAUGAUUCACAUGAAAUAUUUGCAAAACAUUUGGUCCUUUGGAAGUCAGCAUAUAUCUGUAGUUUAUCCUGUGGAAUCAUAUGCACGGAUCAAUAAAAACAUGCGCUAUGUAAUUCUCCUGUGAUUUUAAAUGAUAGCAGAGUAGUAAUUUAAUACAAGUGUUUCCCUUUGCAUUCCAAAGGACUCUGGGUUUUUUACAUGUUUUCAAGUGCACUGCUCGUGUUCUGAGGCUGCUAUCAUGCCACUGAUCACCCAGACAUUUAGGAGUGCAUACAACACACAGAUUGUAUAUUUCUGCAAGCAACUGCUUCUCUGCAAGGGCAGGUUUCUCAACACCCCUUCUUCCUCCCUAAGCCCAUCAGUGAAGUUCAGUGAAAUGAAUAACAUAAUUGGUGGUUGGUUCAAUCACUACCAGUCUAGACUAGCCCAGACGCAUCAAUUAGAGGGGGCUGUCUUUUAAAGGGAGAGUGCGACCGAAACAAGCAGGGUAUUAUUGAUACUGAUCUUUAAAAGUGCAAAUCCAGCUUGGCAGAUAAAAAAAAAAAAUAAGGCGGGGAAUUGGGGUGGGGGGGCGCUGGGGGAAGAAAAGGGAAGCGAGUGAACUGGAGCCCUCGGACACAGAAGGACAGGAAGCUCAAGAGAAAGGGAAGAUAAUGAGUGGAAUGCGGCGAGCACCUCCUUGGAACACAGUUACAAUUCAGCCCACAGGGUGCACUGGCUCGCCAGAUUGCUAACUAGGUCCCCCCGCCUUUUUAAAUUUUUUAUUUUUAUUUUUAUUUAUUUAUUUUUGCCUCGGUUUUCAAAGAAAUGCCAGCUCAAAACCAAUGCAGCUCUAGCGGGUGAGAACAAGGCCAAGUACGCACCAGCCAAGAUCCCUGUUGCAACAUUUUUCCCCCAAAUGAAAAAUAGGGAAGAUACCUAUUUUUAAGCCUCCAGUUUUUCUACUCGUUUUUAAAAUGAAGCGUACCAGUGAACAGUACUUGCUUUAAAUCUAGCACCUGGAAACAGAUUUUAUGGGCAGAGCACCUUUAGUUAAAGAGUUUAGACUUACUUUUCCAUUGAAUACAGUAAAAUUAUGAAGGCUGUAACAAAAGGUUUUGGUGAUUUGGUAGUGUUUGUUGUAUUUUACUUUAUUUUAUUUUAUUUUUUGCUGGGGGCAAAAUAAUGAUGAUUUAGAAAGAGUAAGAGCACAUGAAGCCCCAGGGAAAGAAAAUGUUUGAUUGGUAUUAAUUAAAACACUGCUAAUAUAUUCUAAUACAAUCAAAUUUAACAUUCUAAACUAAUCUGGCUGGUAUGUCAAAGGAAAAGAAAAGUAUUAUCUUAUUUGCAUCUCUGCAAUCCAAAUGCAUUUGCUCAUUCAGCAGAAUUAAUUUUUAUCAGCAGCCUGCUUAAUCUCUUCACAGAUUUAGUCAAACUUAUUCUUUCAAACUAAAAAGGAUCAGGAUAGGGAAGCCAUGGAAGGUAUUGGGAUGACCAGAAACUGUCUUUAGUGCUGGAUUUAUAUUUUACGAUGUUCUUUUUCUCUUCAUUCAGGAUGAUGGGGUGUGGAGGAAAGCAGACUGCAGGGAGAAUGAGGAAUGGCUCAUUUUUGCUUUUUCUCUCCUCCUACCUGCCGGGUUAUUUAAGAAUUUCAGUUGCCAAAUUAUACAAGUGGCAUUUAUUUUUGUGACUUGUAUUGGUCUGUUUGAUUAACAUCUAUUUUUUUUUCUGAUUUCAGAAUCUAUUUUAUUGCAAAUUCCUAAUGAAAAAAAGACUCUUAAGCCAGGAACCAAUUGUCUUUUCUGUUAUUUGCCACCAUAGUGCCUCCAGGAGAAAAAAAAAUGGAGAAAUAAAUAUAAAAUUUUAUUCAGUGACAACAGAGGUCUUUGUUUCAUUUUUAAGUCAAAACUCUACCAGAAGAUUUCUUAUUUUAAUGAAAAGCAGGCUUUAGAACCUUUACUGUUAAAAUCUUGCAACUGAUAAAAUUCUCCCAAAUGCUAUUUUAGCCAAAACGUUUCACCUUUUAUUAGCCUACCGUAACUAUAGUAUCAUAUGUACAUAUAUGCCUAAUACAAAAAGGGGAAAAAUGAGUGGACCGUAAAUAUUGCAGACCAUAUCUGUGUUUUCAAAGUGAGAAAUUGUACCUACUACCAAGGAGACGUAAACUACUGACUUAAACUAGUGAUGUCACUGGCUUUUUGCUCCAUUGCUUUUUCAAGUCUUCAACGUAAAAGAGCAAUCGCAGUUCGGUUUCACAUGUAUUGUUCUAUAAUCCAGGCAAUAAAUGCUAAUUAGUAAUGCUCAAGGAUCCAACCAUUCAGAGUAAUUAUCAUAAUUUACUUCUUCCUUGUUAAAGACAUUCCUUGCUGCUUUAAAAAAAUUAAAUCGUCCUUUUCCCAUUGCACUGCAGUGAAUAUGCACCAGAGAGGCGGCGAGGUACAGUUAUGUUGCUGAGGCUGCAUUCACAGUUAUGGACACGUGCCUUAGAGCUUACUCCAAAUGGAAUUGCAACUUAAUAUCUAAAAUGAAAUUCAUGUAAAUGCAUAAAGUUUUGCGUGUGCACCAGAAAUCUAUGAUUUUAUUUUACAAACCCCAAGGCUCCUCCUUCCCAGCCCACGCUCUUUCUAAAGCACUUACGGAGCAGAACAAAGGAAACUGCUAACUAUAGAGGCAUCAUUAAGUGUGAACAGCAACAGCAUGAUAAAGUAUGUGAUAUGACAACAUAUUUCAUUGCACAAAAGUGUAGAUAAUUAAAUAAUUCAAUGGCAACCCUGACUAAUUAGCAGAAAGAUCUUUAAGGAGGAAUCAAGAAAAUGGAUCCAAUCAACUUGAAUAAUAUGCUUCAUUCUCCAGGAUCACAAAUAUAUUUUGGUUAUUUGAUGAUUGAUUCAUACAGAAAGAUGAGGACAAAAGCCUGUUCCUCAAAGUAGAGCUUUGAUUUGGUGUCCUCUUUAGGGCAAAUUAAUUGUAUGUUUUAGAAGAGCUGAAUUUAAUGCAGGGCUUUCUGUUUUCAAUCCAAGAUGUAGUAUGUCCUUCCGUUGCACAUUUCUCUUUUAUCCAUUCAUCUAAAAUAUUGCCAACCCUUAGGUUGCCUCAAAAUAUAGCCUCUCUCAUACUUCCUAGUGAGGCUGAUGUCUAAAUUCCUUACUGCUUGAAGCAAUUGUGUAUCAUGUGCACAGAAGGAACACAAUAAAUAACCACGGUCAAUAUUAUGUAGGUUGGAACUCUCCCCCUUUCCUUAAUCAAGGUGAAAUGCCCAGUGUCCCUUACUCACUUGGUCUUUUAAGAGAGAGCUCCCAUUUUUACUUGAGCGUUGUAAACACAUUAGAGGGAUAAUUCCCUUUGGAUACUAUACAGAAGGAGCCACCUGCAAAAUGUUGAUGCUGUUAUUGAAGUCUCAAGUGGAAUCAGCUUUCAAAAAAUUAGAUAUUAGAUGCAUCCGAUAUAAUUUGCAAUGUGUAAUUAUACUAAUGGGCAUAUAGUUGUAUGUUGCUUUACAUGUUGCCUACUUGAGUUUGUCAUCCCCUCUUGCCCCACCCCUGGGCAUUUCUCAUCAUUUGAAAUGGCUCCUGAGUGGAACGCUUUUUAAGUCAGCUUAUUUUUUUAAUUCCUUGUUAAUUAAUAUAAGAAUAAAAAGGCUCUAUGGUCUGUGCUCUUGUGCAUGAAUGAAUGUAUAUGACCUUGAUGUUGGAAAUUAAUAAUCUUUAGAAGGAUUACCACCGGGAACACCUACAUUAUUUGUAACACACUAGAUACUCCUUUCUGAUGUGGUCUUUAUCCUGACUUUGGACAAGAUGAAGUAAAGGAGAAUAUUAGAAUAGUAAAUCUUAUUCAUAAGAAAUCCAUUUCCUUUGUUGGAAUAAUGAAACAAAAUGCCAGGGAAAUGGCCUUAGGCAGAGAUAGUAAUUUUAAUUUAAUCAAAGAAUAACAAUAAUAAACAAUUUUUUUCCUUUUUUGCCCAUCCCUCUGUUUGAAAUGAAAUGGCACAUGCUGAAUAGCUGAAACUCUGCUUUAGGUCAUUUAUGCACUAAUACCAGCCCCCCUUUUGGUAUCUCGACUUGGUGUCAGAGACUAUGGAGGCUCCACUGAAGAGCAGCCUCCAAACAGCCCCCGGAGCUCUACCUGUUACAGAAAAACCUGGACAGAGCCACAGCGAGUUAGUGGUCAGCCUGGCACUUGGCAUUUACCUUGUGCCCAGUAAAUGAAAAGUUCUUAGAGCCAAUUCAGAGAAUAAACACAGAUCACAUCAGAUCACAAAAGGAUGUUAAACAAUCAACAUAUAAGAGUCUCAGUUUAUGUUUAUGUCUUCGGGAAACAAAGAAGAGUCCAAGGGAGGUGCUUGCUGAAGUGACACCAGCUAUUAUUCACUCCAGUUAAGUGGACACAGGGUCUGCAGACCCUAUGAUUUGUAAAAUAUGUAACAAGACACUAUAUUUAUACUAUUUAUUCUUCAAAAUUCUCUUUAAUAAUGAAACAAGCAGUGCAAUUUUUUUUAUAUACUCAUGAAUUUGGGGAGUUUCCUUUGUUAACUAUCCAAAUGAGUCACAAAAAUCUUAUGUGGAAUGCUCUUCCUUAAUAAAAAGCAUUUUCCAGCAUUUUCAUUUAUUCGUAAGUCUUAAAUGUGUGUAUCCAAAGCUUAGCCCUGUCCUCCCUGUAAAUGUUCUCGAUUAAUAAAUUUGAAAGCCCAUUAAGAUGGGCAGUUAGUUACUCAUCCAGGAUGAGUUUUUGUGUGUUCAGUUAGCACAGGAAAAUACCUACUAACAACAUCUAACCCUACGGUAUUCUGCAGGCUGUAGGGAGAAAAACACGGUAUCUGGCAGUUAGAGAACUAACAUCUUCAGUGUGCUCGAUGUGUUUAGGGCAGAAAGCAGGGGUAUGUCAUGGUGUGUCUCUUUUGAUGGGGUUAACUCAUUGUGCACCUUCUUUGUAUGAGAGGAAUACAGAGGCUAACAAUAUAGGAUUUAGUUAAAUUCAAAUCCUCUUGUAAAAUAUAUCUCCUUCACAACAACUUUUGUAGACUGAAAGGCAGAAAUGUUAAUUCACCUCUCUUCAAAUACCUUAAUGUGAAAAAUAAGUGGGUUGGAUUAGUUGGGCUGUAAAUUCUUUUAUAGCUCUAAGAAUUUCUGGAAGCUAAACUGUGGGGGUGUAAGACCAACCCCAGGAGCCGAGAAUCCACAGUGUAUUCAUACAAACAGCUGCCCUGGGACAGUAAGUUUGGGUCCACCUCUGGGUUCUUUAUUUACUAACAUAUUUUGCCUUGAUGCCGAAACAGUAGAGAUUGCAGUUCACUUUUGGGAAAGAGCCAUAACAGAAAAGAGCAACAGCUGAGGAGUGCAAAAGCUGAACAGUAGGAGAAGAACAUUCUCGAUCUGAGACCUAAGUCCUUUUCCUUCAACAUCCGCACAGAGGAAGCCCAGACAAGCACCUGCCUUUCUAUUUUAAAACCCUAUUUUUAGUCUUUUUGCUUUCAUGUAAUUUCUUGUAAUAUGCUCUGCACCCCCCAUACACACGCACGCACACAUGCACGCAUGCACGUGUGCAUGCACACACGCACGCACGUCCAUGAUGGAUUGACACCUUGAGUUUCACAACCUUUUCACUCAAUGGAUUCAAAGCAUGGUACUCUUCUCCGCAGAAACCUUUGUAAUUACCCUAACAGGGCACACUGGCUUAAAUUUUGACCUGUUCAAAGCCACCUGGAAAUGGCCCCGCCCCAUUUUCUGGAACCACUCAAUGUAUCUCUUCUUGAGUUAAGUGAGCCUGCUUGUGGGCUUCCACGUCUUUGAUAUGCCCACACCCUGUUUUCCCUUUGGUACAUUCUGUCUCUGCCUCCACAUUUCAGAAGACUGCUCUCUCCCUAUUCCAUCCCUUCCAUCUGUCUGUUUCUUCUCCCUUCCCUUUCUUCCUUUGUCAUUUCUCCCCCUUUUCCUCCUCUUCCUCUGCCUCUGUCUUCCUCCUUCCCCAUCACAUACCAUGUUUUAUGCCAGGCAUUGGAAAUAUCAAGAGCAGUGUAAGUAACUGACAGUUAACACAUAACAAUUCCCGUGACUCCAUCCACUCCUGCAUUACUAAGCAGUUACCCACAACUAUUUUAUCUUGCCUCAGAUCUUGGAGUUACUUGACUGUGUCCUUGAUGUCCUGUGGUCUUUUGUUCUCUCCCUCUGUGUCCUAUUUCAGUAAGUUCCUUGUGGGAUACACCUGAAACUUCUCUGAGUGAGGUGUUGCAGAGCAGUUCCAGGGAUGUUCUCUUCUCACACACACACUCAGGCAAGGCCACUGCCUCCCUGAUUACUGAGCAUUAUUAACAGUGAGAACUGGCCAUGGUUUUUCCAGUGAUGCACCAUUUCUGCACUGGUUAGAAUUAGUAGGGCCCCAAAGUAUUAUACAUUUAUUUAUUUUCGUUAGUGAGUCAAUGUGAUAACUCUCUGUGAUCUGUUCUAUUAUUUUUUAGUUUGUUGAUGUUCCUUUCAGCUGGUCCUAUAGUCCCCUAUUCAGGAAACCUCCCCAGUGAAAGGACAGAGCCUGCAGAGACUGCUAUCUUGACCAAUCCACAUGCCAACUGUGACGUUGAAACAAAGAAAGUGAACACCUGAAGAUACCUCUUCUGUCCUGCACCAAAUCCAAAUGGUGUAGUUUCAGCCAAUAAAAUUUUCAGAAAAAGAAGCAAUCUUUUCAAGAAACUGAAAAUCCAGUAAUGACACCUAGAUCUCUGAUAAGCCAAGAAAAAAUUUCCCUUCCUUCUGUGUAUUCCUCUGUUUGUAUUUAAAUUCAUGUGGUAUUCAUUUUUUUCCCUGUAUGGACAAACUUUGCACUAAUUUUAAAAACUAAAUUUGAACAAAUGUGUUAAUAUGUUAAGGAAAAAAAAUCAAGGCUAUAAGGAGAAUGUUUUUCAGUCACACAAAGUUUCUGCUUAUAAGUGGCCCAGAGAAUUAAAAAAACCUUUGAAAUGGCAAAGUAGUUACAGGAAAUUUAAAGCACAAAGGAAUGGGAGAAACCCAUGCUUUAGCUUCAAUGUACUACAUUAGUCCACUUCAUAUCAACCAAUGAGCCAUUGCUUUUAUCUAGUAAACUCAAUUAUGUGCGAUAUGGCCUCUAGGGAACGUUAAUCCAGCCAGACAAAGCUACAUAAAGUUUGGGAAAGGUAAGUAACAGGUAGGGACAGUAGAUAACAGCAACAACAACAAAAUUUUUGUAAACAGUGAGCUCAAAAGAGAUCUCAAUAGGGUGGGCAAGGCUAACUUUCUUAGGGAAGGAGGUUUCCAAAAUAGUGAAGGAGGAAAUGACUCUUGAAGUCGGUCAAACACAUAGAUGGACAAAAGGCAACAUUCCAGCAAGUACGUGAUAUUGUAAGGGAAACCUUGGAGGAUGAAACUCACAUGGUAAAUUGAGGCCAUGACGAAUGCAUGUGUGGAUUCCAACUCCAGACAUGCAGUACCCCUGUGUGUCUGGGGAAGGCUUUGCACUUGCACACACACCUCCCCUCUCAAUCCCCUCUUGACCCUUUGAGUUUCACCUAGAAUGAUUUCUUUGCCAUUCCAGCAUGUGAAGGUGCUUGGUGAUAAUAUGGAGAACUUGUGAUUUUUCUGUUCAUAAUAAUUGGUAUUUAUUGACACAAAAUCAAGCAUUUUGUGUAUUAACUCAAGCCUCAAAAUAAGUAUGCAAAUUAGAUAUUAUUAUUCCUAUUUUAUAGAUGAUAAAACUGAGGUUUAAUGAAGUUAUGUUCAUUAAAACAUAACCAUGUUAUGUUUUAACAUGAAGUGCCACAUAUGCUACUUCAGAUUUAGGGUUACAACAGCAAAGCUCAUGAUUUAAAGGACAAACUCGCAACAUUGUGAUCAGUGUCAUUAAUAUUGCCACUUUUUCUGUACUCUUUGAUAUUUAUUUAUCUAUGGCAAACCAAUAAUUACAUUAUUCAGUUUUUACCUGAACUUUAUUAUUAUUCUGGUUAAAUUACAUUAGAGUGAUAGAACAUAUUUUCAUGAAAAAGGAAAAAUUUGGGGAGUAGAGCUUGUCAGCACUUUAGAUUUUUUUGUUUGUUUUUGGCAAGACUUUGGUGGACUUUAUUUGUUCUGCAGGAACUCUUAAAUCCUUGAAAAUAAAAAUAGAGAGGGGCUUAUGUCACAUAUCGCAAUAUCCGUUUUUACAGACAAGAUGAAUCUCUAGCCCAUAAACUUAGAGUGACUUACAAAAGUUCACAUGUGAGGUCCUUGCAAGAGGCCAAAGGCCAGAAGUAAACCUUUUCAGUUUGGUCUUCUCUCGGUGGCCCUUGAACUAUGCCAAUCUGCUUAGACAAAACAUGAACCCGAAUUUGAUUAAAGGAAACAUUAUCCCUAGGUAAUCAGGGAAUAGCAUACCUGGGAGAUUGCUUCAGUUCUGGACCUCUUUGCUAGCCCACCUCGCUAGUCAUGAACUAGCAUCUUUAAAUCCACAAAUUGUCAGUUCAUCCUGCCAAAACCCAAAAUGGCAAAAGCUUUAUGUGUACAAUACCUGCAAUAGUUUUCUCAGUCUAUUUGGAACUCUUUGUGAACCUGCGCAAGUCAAAUCUUCUUAACCAACUUCAUACAUAGUACACAUUUGCAAAUGCAUCUGCAUGACCAUAUCCAUGUAACUAAAGAAUACUUUGGCCAUGAAAGGAUAGACUUGAGAACUCUGACGCUUCUAUACCAGCCACUUUGCCUUUGUUUAGUAAUGACUCAUAAAGGGGCCAAUUGCAUAACAUAGAGGCUCAAGACGCAACUGUGUGAAGCUGGGUCUAUUUAAGGACAGACAUCUACAUGUUUGGAAAUAUCAAAAUAUUUGGUCAUUGAAAAUUUCCACUUAGAUAUUUGGCAUUGUCAUAUUUAGUUCUUUCUUCUUAUGGAACUGAUCAUCCUGUUUACAAAAUGAUGAUUGUUGGUCCUGUCUCACACCAUUUUCACUGAGUUAACAAAAAGGUGUUUUUUUAAAAGUAGCCAGACUCGAAGUAUGACUCUGUAGACAUUUUAUGAGAAUUGUCAUAUGUACCUAACUAUCAAUAAAAGAAAUGCUGCAUCAA